rnacentral:lncRNA from 1 species
GGGCUUGCCUCUAGCUGCCAAGGUAUUAGGAUGUCUAAUGCAGUCUAAAAGAACAAGAGAAGAGUGGGAACGUGUUUCAUCUAGCGAACUGUGGAGGCUAGAUGAGGUUGAUAGAGAUCAGGUUGAAAGACGAAUAUUUAUACCUUUGCUUUUGAGUUACUAUGAUUUACCUUCUGUGGUAAGACGAUGUUUCUUGUAUUGUGCCAUGUUUCCAAAAGACUACGAGAUGGGAAAAUAUGAAUUGGUGAAGAUGUGGAUAGCUCAAGGUUACCUCAAGGAGACUUCAGGUGGAGAUAUGGAGCUUGUAGGAGAGCAGUACUUUCAAGUCUUAGCAGCGCGCUCUUUCUUUCAAGAUUUUGAGACGUAUGGUCGAGAAGGUAUUAGAUUCAAGAUGCAUGAUAUAGUGCAUGAUUUUGCCCAAUAUAUGACAAAAAAUGAAUGUCUAACAGUGGAUGUCAAUACACUUGGAGGAGCAACAGUGGAGACUUCAAUUGAAAGGGUUCGUCAUUUAAGCAUGAUGCUGCCCAACGAGACCUCUUUUCCCGUGUCCAUUCACAAAGCAAAAGGUCUUCGCAGCCUCUUGAUCGACACUAGAGACCCUUCGCUUGGAGCUGCACUACCUGAUUUAUUCAAGCAGUUGACAUGCAUCAGGUCAUUGAAUUUGACAGGGUCUCAAAUCAAAGAAAUACCAAACGAGGUAGGGAAAUUGAUACAUUUGAGACACCUCAAUUUGGCAAGGUGUGUAGAGUUGGAGUCCCUGCCAGAAACCAUGUGUGAUUUAUGCAAUCUGCAAUCCCUAGACGUUACUUGGUGUCAGUCUCUCAAGGAAUUGCCCAAGGCGAUUGGAAAACUUAUCAAAUUGAGGCAUCUCCGGAUUGAUAGUUCAGGAGUGGCCUUCAUACCUAAGGGAAUAGAGAGGAUAACAUGUCUUCGAACAUUAGAUGUGUUUAAUGUGUGUGGUGGUGGUGAGAAUGAAAGUAAAGCAGCUAAUCUAAGAGAAUUAAAAAACUUAAAUCACAUUGGAGGGAGUCUUAGUAUACCGAAUCUAGGAGGAGGUAAAGAAGAUGCGAGUGACGCUGCAGAAGCACAACUCAAGAAUAAGAAGCGCCUGCUUAGUUUGGAAUUGGGUUUCGACAGAGAGAAAACAGAGUUGCAAGCGAAUGAAGGCUCUUUAAUUGAAGCUUUACAGCCUCCGUCAGACUUGAAAAAUCUAACCAUAACUAGGUACGGAGGGUUGGAUUUGCCAAAUUGGAUGAUGACAUUAACCAGAUUACAGGAACUGACACUCAUUGACUGUACAAACGUGGAGGUCUUGCGUCCGUUGGGUAGAUUGCCCAACCUUGAAGGCCUGGUAUUGAUGUUGUUGAAGGGGAGAAGGUUGGAUUUUGGAUUUUUAGGUAUAGAAAAAGAUGAGAAUGCCAGUAUUAAUGAAGGAGAGAUUGCAAGGGUCACUGCUUUCCCCAAAUUAAAAACACUUUGGAUUUUGAAUCUUGUAAAAGUAGAAGAGUGGGAAGGAAUUGAAAGGAGAGUGGGAGAAGAAGAUGCCAACACAACUUCAAUAAUAUCCAUUAUGCCACAGCUUCGACUGUUGAUGAUUGAUGGUUGCCCGUUGUUGAGAGCACUACCAGACUAUGUUUUGGCAGCGCCUCUACAGGAACUACGCAUAAUUAGAUGCCCCAAUCUAAGGAAACGUUACGGGAAGGAGGAGAUGGGUGAAGAUUGGCAAAAGAUUUCUCACAUCCCAAAGAUUUCUAUUAAAGAAUAGUUAAGACACCACUACGUACGGAAGUCUGUAGGACCGGCAGGAAGAGGUAUGUUUGAUAUACCUCUUUACUGUAUAUUGUUGACUUUGGAUUGUAUUUCCUACUUACCAUUUAUUCUAUCAAAUGCAGCAUAAAAUUACCUCUCUCUCACAUCCUCUCUCUCCCUCCCAACAUAUAUAAAAUAAUAUGUAAUUCAUAUGUUUAUAUUUAAAGAAUAGUUUAGACCGGCAGGAAGAGCUAAUUUUUUAUUUAAUUAUUGAAUUAUACUUAAAUUUCAAAGGUUGUUGCAAUUUAAGCUCUCUCUCUUAUUUUUUUCUCUCUCUCAUUUUCUUGUCAUUUUCGAAUGUACUAUGUUGUUGAUGGGUGCUUAGAUACUAUGUUGUUGAUUUUAUUAUUUGUUUUGGUGUUGUAGCGGCAAACGGUGUUGUUAUUGCAACUGAGAAGAAAUUGCCAUCUAUUUUAGUCGAUGAAUCUUCUGUAAGUAAACAUUUAUUAUUAUUUUUUUUGGUUUUGUUAUAUUCUUUGGUUGAAAUUCAAGUAACCCUUUUGUUUUUUUGCGUUUUCUUUAGUGACAUCGGUUGGUAGAAAUCUGUUCAAAUUCGGUGUAAAUUUGUAAUUUUUAUUAGUAAUUUGAGCCUAGUGAUUUGGGUUCUUGCCAAUGAGGCGUUACUAUACUAGUCAAUGACUCUUAAGAUUGGGACUUUGCAUGUUGGAGUGUGUAGAUUUAUAUCCUCUUUAAUCCCACAUUGUAUAAAAAGGUGGUGUUGGUUAUUUUAAAUCGUGUUGAAUGAGGUGGAGAUGGUUUGAUUUUGGAGCCAGUCGAUUGGUCUAUUAUUCUAAUUUGCAAGAUGGUAUAUAACUUGAGUUGGUUGUUGAUGGUAUUUAAUUGCUUCUUGUUUCAGGUUCAGAAAAUACAGAAUCUGACACCCAAUAUUAGAGUUGUCUACAGGUUUGUUUCUGCCUGCUUCUCAGUAAUUAGGAAUUUCCAUUUUUUUAGCUUGUGUUUCUCUGGCCUUAACUAUUGCUAAAAUAUCUGUCAUGAAUGAUUGUAGCAGGCGGGUGUGUAGAUUCAAAGCUCUCUUUAUGUUUGGUGGGAAAUUGUAUAGUUUCUGCUGUUGUUAUAGUGUCCUGAUAAGUGUGAAAUUUGACCCGGGGUGGUAAAUUGAGAUAGAAGCAUGCCUGCUUAUAAUCUGAACUUCAGUGGAACUCCUUGUAGGUCAAUGUUCUUAAUUGGUCUGGUUAUGGACUUGACUUUGACAUGCUGUACAUGUACGCUGUUUCUGAUUCAACCGAAAAAAAGAGGGGGACAAAUAUGUAGUUCCUUAGAAAAAUAAAAAUAAGGCAUUCCUCUGUACAUGGGUUUGAAAUAAGACAUCUUGGCAAUUUGGUUGCUCAAUGCAACUUGUGCAACUUAUUACCUAUGUCAAAAUGGGUUGCUUUGCUGUAAUUGUUUCUUGACAGUGCUGAAUCACAUGUAUUUUGUUGCAGUGGAAUGGGUCCUGACUUUCGAGUUUUGGUUCGGAAAAGUAGGAAGCAAGCAGAGCAAUAUCAUAGACUGUACAAGGUACCCAUCUUCAAGAUUUUCAAAAUCUGCUACAUCAGUCUUCAUCCUAUUCCACCAAUAACACACCUUAAGGUCUUUAUACAUCUUGGUGGAACCUGGAUGCAUUGUGUAAACUGUCUGAUGUGCCUCUACCAUCAAUUCUCUCCUCAGAUCAUCUACAUCAGGUACACAAAGCCUAUCCCUAUAUCUCAGCACAUCAUCAUCACCUAUCACAAAACCUGCAGCCUUACCCUGCUCAACCUCAUUUCUAAUCCCGAGUAGUGAAUCAUCUUUCUUCUGAGCUGCUUUUAUCUUAUCAAACAAAUCUGACUUAACCUGAAAAUGAGCAAUCAUUGCUCCAGCUUCACUAAGAUCAAAUCUGACUCCUUCAUCCACCAACUCAUGCAGCUCCCUAAUCAGAGGUCUUCGUACCUCCUGAAUAUGAGCUAAGCUCCCUGAUGAUUUUCUACUCAAAGCAUCGGCAACUACAUUUGCCUUACCCGGGUGGUAAUGUAUGGUACAAUCAUAAUCCUUCAGCAGUUCCAUCCAUCUCCUUUGCCUCAGGUUUAGAUCCCUUUGCUGAAAGAUAUAUUUCAAACUCUUGUGAUCUGUGAAGAUCUCACAAGUUUCACCAUACAAGUAGUGCCUCCAAAUCUUCAAGGCAAAAAUUACAACUGCCAUCUCUAAAUCAUGUGUAGGAUAGUUCUGUUCAUGCUUCUUCAACUGCCGUGAAGCAUAGGCAAUAACCUUGUCAUGCUGCAUUAGAACACAUCCUAACCCCACUCUCGAAGCAUCACAAUACACUGUGUAACCACCAGAACCUGAUGGUACUGCUAGAACAGGCGCUGUAGUCAAUCUCUCUUUCAACUCCAAGAAACUUUUCUCACAAGCUUCAGACCACUGAAACUUAACAUUUUUCUGCGUUAACUUAGUCAAUGGUGCAGAAAUUCGAGAAAAGUUCUCCACAAACCUCCGAUAGUAGCCGGCCAAACCUAAGAAACUUCUAAUCUCUGUCGCCGAAGUAGGUCUAAGCCACUGCUUAACUGCUUCAAUCUUUUGAGGAUCAACCUCAAUCCCAUUCCUUGACACUACAUGCCCAAUAAAUGCUACACUCUCCAACCAAAACUCACUCUUUGAGAACUUGCCAUACAACUGAUGUUCUCGCAGAGUUUGAAGCACCAUUCUCAAGUGCUGCUCAUGCUCCUCCCUAGACCUCGAAUACACCAAAAUAUCAUCAAUAAAAACUAUCACAAAUCGAUCAAUAAACUGGCCAAACACUCUAUUCAUCAAAUCCAUAAAAGCUGCUGGUGCAUUCGUCAACCCAAAAGACAUCACUAAGAACUCAUAAUGACCAUACCGAGUUCUAAAAGCUGUCUUCAAAAUGUCUGUCUCCCUAAUCCUCAACUGAUGAUACCCAGAUCGAAGAUCGAUCUUAGAAAAGAAUUGAGCUCCCUGCAACUGGUCAAACAAAUCAUCAAUGCGGGGGAGUGGGUAUCUAUUUCGAAUAGUCACCCGAUUCAGUUGCCUAUAAUCUAUACAUAACCUCAAUGACCCAUCUUUCUUCUUCACAAACAACACUGGGGCUCCCCAAGGGGACACACUUGGUCGGAUGAACUUUUUAUCCAACAAAUCCUGCAGUUGCUCCUUUAACUCCCUCAAUUCUGCUGGCGCCAUUCUAUAUGGUGCCAUUGAUAUUGGUUCAGUACCCGGAACCAAAUCAAUACAAAACUCAAUAUCCCUAUAUGGAGGCAAUCCAGGUAAGUCAUCGGGAAAGACAUCAAUAAACUCCCUAACUAUAGGGACUUGGUCUAAUUGAGGAACUUCUUUCUCUACAUCCACUAUAUAUGCUAGGUAGCACUGUACCCCUUUUCUAGCCAUUUUCCUCGAGAUAGCCGACAACAUAAUUGAUGGAGACCCAAUCUUAUCUCCUUGAAAUACCAACCCAACUUCUUCAUCUAGAUCAAAUAUUAUUUUCUUACCCCAACAAUUUACCGAAACCCUAUGCUUUGCCAACCAAUCCAUUCCCAAAAUCACAUCAAAAUCAACCAUAUCUAAGACAUUUAAGUCUCCCAUAAAAAUCUUAUCUCCAAUCUCUAUUUCACAAUCCAGAUACACAUACUUCACUAAUAUUAAUUCAUCUAAGGGAGUGGAGACUGAAAUGGGGGAUUUUAACAAGGUUGGUUGUUUAUCUAACCUCAUGGCAAAAUAUGGGGACAUAAAUGAAUGGGUUGCACCCGUAUCAAACAACACUUUUGCUUCAAAAGAGCAAACAGGAAGAAUACCUGAAACAACUGUGUUGGAUGCCUGAGCAUCCUGCUGAGUCAAGGCAAAAACUCUGGCAUGCCCCUGACCCUGCUGUAUCUGACCUCUAUCACCUGCACCCCGGCCUCUCUGACCACGGCCACCAAAACCUCUACCCCUAUGAGCCACAGACUGGCUCGUCGAUGGUGCCUGAAUAGGAUGCUGAACUGAAACAGAUAACCCCGAAGCUGACAACUGUCUCCUUGGGCACUCUCUGAUCUUAUGACCUAUCUGGCCACAACUAAAACAAGCCUCGGUCCUUCUGUAGCACUCUGCACUAGUAUGACUUCCUCCACAGUGCUGACAUGAAGAACUAUCACUAGGUGUAAUAAAUGAACUACGAGGUGCAGUCUGAACUAAACUCUGAGUACCACUACUGCCACUCUGACCGCCUGAGCCACUAACUGACGGUCUCUGUCUAAACCUCCUCUGAACCCAUGAGCCCUGACGACCACUUCGUCCCCUAGACGGACCUGCACUUAAUCCCUGUUGCCUAAAAGACUGACCCUCUUCUCUAGGCCUCUUAGACUGGCCUGCAGUCAUAUCCUCCAAUUCUCGCGCCUCUAUCAAUCUGGCGCUAUCAACAGCUAAAGAGUAUGAUGGAAACACCUGUGACACCAUCACCUUAUACAUAGAGGAUUUGAGUCCUCUAAUAAACCUCUUCACCCUUCACUCCUCAGUGGGUAGAAGAUGUUCUGCAUACCUAGACAGCUGAGUGAACUUCAGAUCAUACUCAUCCACUGUCAUGCUCCCCUGAGAUAGCCUCUCAAACUCAUAAAGUCGAGCAUCUCUGACGCUCUGAGGGAGAAACCUGUCUAAGAACAUGGAGCUAAACUCCUUCUAUAUCCACUGAGACUCUACUGGUCUUGCUCUUUUCCUAGACUCAAACCAAGAGAUUGCCACAUCUCCUUCCAACCUGAAUGAUGCCAAACUCACAGCUCGGUGGUCUGUACAUCCCAAAGCUUCACACCGUCGCCAAAUAUCAUCUAGGAACCUCUGAGGAUCCUCUGAACUAUCCAUCCCAGUAAAAAUAGGAGGUGCCAACUUCAUGAAGUCAUUCAACGGCACAUUAACUCCCUGAACAGUGUGGGAUGUCGAGGGUACAUCUCUAUCCCUCCUUCUAUCUCUCUCCAUAGAAAACUCUAUCCAGGUCCGCACAACCUGGCUAAGUUGCUGAAACUCUGUAACAGGUUCAGGGUCAGCUACCCCCACACCUGUUUCAUCAACAAUAUCUUCCUCUUCUAUCUCCUAAGGCUCUUCCUCCACUGGUGGAGGUACCUCCUCAACAUGUUGAGGCACGGGUGCACCGCGCCUCCUUCUCUGCCUUGCAGUUCUCAACCGCCCAAUAGGGACAUCAUCCUGAUCAUCCUCUACUCUAACAGUAUCAGCUAUUCGUCUAUUCCUCGACAUUUCCUAAAAUAAAAGUGAGAGCACUCAAGUCAUGCUAGAACAAUAGCAUGAUAAUUAUCACAGAAUUAUAGGAAAGCAUAUCUAUCACAAGGAAGAAGACAUGCUUGAUGAGAAUUCAGAAUUUCAAAGACAACAAACAAGACAAUACGGAUCUUAAUGCUCCACUUAUUAUGAAAUUAAUUAUAUUAUUGUUUCUUUAACCUAAAGCUCUGAUACCAAGUUUGUCACGACCCGAAUCCCGGAUCCAUGACCGGCACAUAGACAAGGUUCCCCUCCAAGGUUCCAUACCUAUGUGAACCCAAACUUACACACAAACUUAUCUUAACUCAAUCAGAGUUCAACGCAGCAUUAAUAACAAAAUCAACUUUAUAAUAUAACUGAAUUGUCUUAAUACAAGAGUUAAUAUAAUUCAUAGUUUUGGAGCACUAACUUGACAUAAAAGAAAAGUACAAAAUACAACCAAAGAGCAGGUUCUGAAGGUCCAACAAAAUGACCUGCUAUCAAGCUAUAAGCCUGAAAAGGAUAAAUAAUGAGAUGGUGAGUUCAACAACUCAGUGAGUAGAUAACGUUCAAUAUACACACACGAGGUAAUACAACAAUGAGAAAUAUAUAUAUACAAGUAUGGCUCUAGGUUCUUAUAGAAAGGUUUCUCAAAUAGGCCAUAACAAGAAUAUCAUAUGGUAAAGCUCGUCAGAAAAUCAAAAUGCAAUGAGCAUGAGGCUCCGUACUGUGGGAUGAUCAGUCCACACAGGUUGGUGACUCCCCCGACCAACUAGGGUUCAGAUACGAUGUGCACAAAGACUAACACUACCCUGUUAGCAUGGGUAUUUUGACUGACAUACCAUAGGUUCAUAAUCAUAUUCAAACAGACAUAUUCAUAUCUCAAGGCUCAACUCAUGACAUCAAUCAAAUGAGGAGCUAUCAAUUCAGAAGUCAAUCCCAAAUAUAUACUGGUUCAUAUCAAGAAUUCAGAUUCAACAAUUGAUCAUGUUUAAUCAAAACAAAGAUAAUAAUCAACAUAUAUAUUAUCAAGAAGCAUGAUCCAAUUCAUAUUAACAAAUCAAAUAUUUAUAAUAUUUCUCAUGCAUAUGGAAAAUUAUCCACUCACCUGACUCGAAAGCAACAAAACUCAAAGCUGAUAUCGAAGGAAAUCCUACUGACGUCCCGCCGGUAGAAUAUCAGGAUUAUCUGAAUAUAAAGGAGACAUAUUCAAGAACGACUCGAAAGAAUAUUUAACUUAUUUAAUACACUUAACUAAGGGUGUAUUCCAUAACCCUAUAUGUUUUUGAACUAACUAGUUAUCUUUCCUAAAAACCCAACAUUUAACGGUUUUCCCGAAAUCUAAUCCAUAAUAAAAACAACUAAUAAAAUUGAUAAUAAUUUACUAAAUAACCCUUAAUUAUUCAUCAAACCAAUCUGAAAAAGCUAAUAUUACAGCUAGGGACUAAUCUGUAAUUUAUCCUAUUUUUAAGGGUCAAAUUGCAACUUUUGUCUAAUUGGAGGACCAAACUGAAAUUUAUCAUAAAUCCAUGAAUAUACUGAAAUUCUGACCAUAACUAGUCCUCAUUUCUGUCCAGAUCAUCUCAUUAUACUCCAAGGACCAUUCUGGAAUUUUACCAAAUUUUUAGGGUCAAAUUGUAAUUUUUAUCAAAUUGGAGGACCAAAUUGAAAGUGUUAAAUUCUCUUAUCUAUACAAUAAUUCUGUCCAUAAUUCAUAUGUUAUUCUGUUCAGAUUCUCGGAAUAGGCUCCAGGGACCAAUCUGCAAAUUUUCCAAAGUUUGGGGACUAAACUGUAAUUUUCCAAAAUUGAGGGACCAAACCGAAAUUUUGUCAUCUUCAACCUCCAACCCAGAAUUUUUAACAGAAACCUACUGUUCUUGCCAAAUUUCUAACUCAACAUUCACCAUUUAGACAAUUCAUAACUCAAAAUUAUCACAAUCUUCCAUAAUCAACUCAUUAAUCAAUUACCCAUAACAAUCAACCUUAUAACAUUCAAUUUAAUUCAUCAAUUAAACCCAAAACACAAAUUUUCAAAACCCUAACAUUUAUCAAAACCAAAAUUAAAAGCUCAAUAAUACAAAUUUAUACAUUUAACAACCUAAAUCUUACCUUUUUACUUAUUUCCUCCAACUCCUUUCUAUUUCCUUUCUAAUUUCCCUCUUUUCUCUUCUUCUUCUUCUUUCUCCCUUCUCCCUUCUCUCUCACGGUUUUUCACUCAAAAUAUUCAGAUCUCUUCUUCUUCUUUUUCUUUCUAUUUAUAUUUCUUAUGUUUAUCUAAUUACUACAAUACCCUUAUUUAUUUAUACUCCAACUUUUAAGCCUACAAGGACUUUAUUGUAUUUUCCUACUCAUUUAUUCAAAACAUCACAUAAUGCUUGAUAACCUGGUUAAGAUAAUAUAUCUGGAAAGUAGUUAUUGAGGUUGUCUAUAUUACAAGACUUCUUGUUAGUUUUCUUAUUCCCAAUAAUACCAUUCUGACCCCCAAAACAGCUGAAUUUUGCUUGAAAUCCAAGAGUUAAAUAUCCGAUUACUAUUUUAUAUCAAUUCAUUGUCAUCUUUUGUUGUUAAUCGUGAAGGUUGUGACUUGUGAAUUUUUAUGAUUGUAGGAACCAAUUCCUGUCACACAACUUGUGAGGGAAACUGCUGCUGUCAUGCAAGAGUUUACUCAAUCUGGGUACUGGAACAUCUUUUAUACAUUCAAAGUGUUUCAGUGGUUUUAGUUGAUUUCCUUUGUAAUUUAGAUCUGAAUUUCAAUUUCCAAAGUUCAUAACCUUAGCCCUUAUUCUAAUAAGCCAACAACUCUCUCCCUAUGUUCCUGCAUCAGCAUGUCAACUCUUCAUGCUCUUAUUCUUGAAGUUUGAAAAUACUCAUCCUUUGUUUUUCCUCGCAGAGGUGUAAGGCCUUUUGGAGUAUCUUUGCUAGUCGCUGGUUUUGAUGACAAAGGUCCACAGCUGUACCAGGUGUCUUUGCUAGUCACUGUGUUAAUGUCUGAAGUCAUUAACUAUUUUUUUUUUAUCUGGAUUAUCCACUGCAGACUAUGUGGUAGCCUAGUAUUCUAGAAGCUGUAGGCCUUUGUGACUAUCAUGCACCCUUCUGUGUGCCCAGAGGGUUGAUAAGUUUUUGACCUUUUGUUUUCUUGGUUGAGAUUUGGAUGGAUUAUGACUCACUUGUGUUGCCUUUUUAAAAAUAUGUUAGACUCUUGCACUCAAAUCAUAGUUCUUCUGAUGAUGUUAUGUUUUGUAUUUGUUUGGCUAGGUUGAUCCAUCAGGUUCCUACUUCUCAUGGAAAGCCUCAGCAAUGGGGAAAAAUGUUUCAAAUGCAAAAACAUUUCUUGAGAAGAGGUAUUUAUUUGUUUUUGGUACCAUGAAAUGCAUUGAUUCUGCAAAAACUUCUAAACAUCUUCAUGGGUUCUCCUAGCUAGCAACAAAUGUGUUUCCACCUCCAGCCAUCAACUGCCAAACAUAUUCUUCAUUCAAAGAUCAAGCUACCUUCAAUUUUCAACUGCCAGUUUACUUUGUGCUACUCCCAUCGUUCUUUAUAUAAUUUAUUGUACUUCAUUCUCCCCAUCCAAGAAGAAUUGGAUUGUCUUUUUUUUUUUGAAAAAAAAAAGAAAAAAGAAAGUGAAAAAAAGAAUUGAAUGGACAGAAACAUGGUAAAUAUUUUGGUUUUUUGUCCACAUAUCUUCAUUUGAUUUGAACAACUUUUGUUUUCCCUAACUUAAUAUGUGCUCUGUAGAUACACUGAUGAUAUGGAGCUUGAUGAUGCUGUACACACCGCUAUCUUGACACUAAAAGAGGGGUACAUCACUUUAAAAUUUCCUCCACUUUUUAUUUUUGAAUUUGAGCAGUGGUGUUUUUUACAAGGUUUGGUAUAUAAAAAGUAGAAGAAAAAUUCAGUAGGUUUAAUAUACUUGCGCCAUGCACGAGCACCCGGUUCAUUACAUAAUUGAUUGAUAUACUUGUAAUUCAGCCAUUUAGGUAUUGCGAUUUUCUGCCACACAUACUGAGUAUCGUAGGUAAAAUGAAUUCUAAGUAACAGUAGUCUAGUUGGGGUCUUCAGCCUUGAGAACUUAAAUUGGCUCUCAACACUUCAGUUAGUAGUUCAGGAGAUUAAAUUAUGUGAGAUACUGUUUAAGUGAAAAUGAAUGAAAGUUUCUCAACCCAGUGUCAAUCAAAUGUACUUGCAGGUGCUUAAAGGUUCCUUUUCUUUCCUCUUAGUGAUUUUAAGUUGUUAAUUUGUCGAGUCUUGCUUCUAUAAUCAGAGUGAUGGUGGAUUAGUGAGCAUAAUCUUAGUAUUUGCAAAGUGGUCAAAGAGAGAUAUAAAUGAGCAUUUUAAAGUUUCUUACAAGUUCUGAGUGUGUCCCUUGUAACCUUACAAGAUUGUUUGUGUUUGCAGAUUUGAAGGGCAGAUUUCUGGGAAAAACAUUGAAAUUGGGAUAAUUGGUGCUGACAAGCAAUUCAGGCAUGCUCUUUCUUGACCUUUUUCCUUAUUAAACUUGGUAAUAGUGUCACGUAAUUUCAAGCUUAGGAUGAGUUCCAGAAGUAACUUGCAGGAUGCACAUUUUUGUUAACACAGUUCAUAACUAGAUAAAAUCUGAUAUCUAAAAUCUUUUGGAUCUCACCAAUUUCAUAUAUGGCCUUCCACUUGUGGUUUCAAUUUUGAAGUUCUGAUUUUCACGCACUCUUGCUCUAGUUUCAGUCUGACAAUUUACACAUGAGACUCGUGUUCAAAAUGGCCAAUCCACUCUUUCUUUGAAUGUUUAAGCUUCCUUGGAAGAAGUUAUGUGUGGCAUGACCAUGGCAAUCUUAUCCCUUGUGCUUUCUUUACUGCAGGGUACUAACUCCAGCCGAAAUUGAUGAUUAUUUGGCUGAAGUGGAAUAGACAUUGUAUUUUUUGGCUAAAGUGGAGUUCUUCCCUGUAUUGACACCAAUCGAGAUACAUGUGUUACUUUCCUCUGGAAUUGCUUGAAUCAGUUGCUUUUAGCCGAAGUUUCUAUUAAUUCCAAGUUUUCAGAACUGUAAUGUGGAAAUGUUAUAGGACUUCUCUCCAAUCUUAGAUGGCUUCUAAAGUUUUGCAUCAAUAUGAUUUCCUAUAGGAUACGUUUGACAGAGUGCAGAAAAUUGGUCUUUUCAAUUAUAUCUAUCUCCUCUCAAUGCUUGACCUGUAAUAUGCCCGUUCUUAUUUAAUUCCAAUGGAGCUUCGAAGAGGGAAAGAGAGGGGCCAUGGAAUAUGGAUAUCGAAUUGCAACUCAAUUGACACUUCAGAGCCUCGUCUUUGCAACAAGUCUCAUGCUGGAGUUUUUGCUGUUAAAUUAUACUAAUAAUAAUGACAAUAAUUUGUCCAUUGUGUUUAAACAAAUUAACCUUGGUCUAUUUUUUUUAUGAAAAAUAAACUUUUUUAGAAUUGAUUAUUCUAGCUAUCAGCUACCGUCACAAUAUAGAACCCCAUGCAACCUCAAAGACACCACGAGGCUACAAGAAUGCUAUUGUUUGACUCCUUAAGUUCGUUAGAGAUAUUUUGAGGCUUUUGUCCCUUAGUAAACAGAGAAAAACAUAAGCUACUUUUGUCUGGCAGUGCUGGUCUUCACCCACGUAGUCCAUUAUCCAAGAAAACACUCUUCACAUAUCUUCUUGCUUGCUGAAUGUUUACAGCUACCCAACUCCAAACUCCUCUUUUAUGCUUUCAUGUAAGUCGUAUCCUUCCUUCCUUCCUCUCUUUCUCCUCUUGCUGGAUAACAUUGCUUGUUCAAGGAAUUUCUUGUACUGGGAAAUGGGUUUCAAUGGAAUUGCUAAGUAUCAACGUUCACUUGACAGAGGAUGUCUAAAUUGUUUUGUGUUCUUGUUAGUUAAAACAUUUUCGCAUUUUGUUGGCUCUCAUAUGUAUUGAACGAGCAAUCAUCAUUAUCUGAAAAGUCUUACUGUGAAUUCAGAAAUUAUAAGAUGAAGGACCAGUUUUAGCUGUCAAAGUGCUAGGCUUAUCGUUGUUGAACUCUAACCAGUCUUCAACAGUUGUGGCCUUGUUUAUCUUGCAAAUUUUGAUUUUUGUAGUUUAAUCAGAUAGUUUAGACUAAUAUUUGAUUCUGUAAUGAAAAUACAACCUAUACUCACAGCAAUUAAGAAUUAUUGCGAAAGAAAGAGAGAAGAUAUUUGGUUUAGAAAGGGAAAGUUGACAACUUUUCUUCUUCUUUUUUAACUGUGUAUUCUGGUUUGCAUUUCAGGUGUUUGCUAUUGUGAUUAAAAGUAGUUUUAGUGUCUCUCUUUGUCCAAUUAUUUUGCAUUCCAAAGCAUCCUUUGCAUGGAUUUUAUUUGGUUGCUUCCUCUGUGUAAUGGCUUUAAAUUAAGAGGUGUGUAUGUUUGUUGCUGGCAAUUGUGUGUUUACUUGAUUAGUUUUUGCAGGUUGCUUGUUAGAUGCACACUGAAUCAUAUUUUUAUAGAAUCAAGUAUCCGGAAUGGUCAUUUCAGACGCAGAGAAAAGAAUUCCAGUAGUGGAGAUGUUAAAAAGUCGAAAAGCGACAGGGUCUAUAUCGACAAACAUGGCAAAUGGCGAAUCUUUGAUCACAAAAAGAUGUCCAGGAAACGAUGUAAUACGGAGUAAUUCACUUCGUGCUCCUACAUAUAACUGCUGAAGCAAAUAUGGCUUUAAUUAUUAAGUCGUCUUUUUUACCUAGGUGGCUCUUUGAGGGGACAAGGAUGGAAAUAUGGAUCUGGAUUUGUUGAUGGAAUUUUCCCAGUGCUAGGUCCUGUUGCUCAUCAGAUUCUGAACUUUGUGCGGAAAGAAGUGGAUCCGAAUAAUGUUUGGGCUGCUCUUGACACUCUUCCUGUCACUCACGAGACUUGGGAUGAUCUUAUUAAUGUAGCCGUCCAACUUCGUUUGAAUAAACAAUGGGAUCCGAUUGCUUUGGUGAGUAAAUCGUGCCUCAAUUCUUUCAUCGUGUAAGGUGGUAGGCGAUGGAUUAAACCACAUUGCACGCAAAUAUUUUUGUGGCAGGAUGUUUGCAUAGUAUUUUUCUCUUCAAUCAUUAAGACUGAACCCUCGAUUGUUCAAAUCUCCUUUAAGUGGUUGGUGCUGCAGUUGGUGUUCGGAAUUUUCAUAUACCAGCAUUUUCCUCCAACUGAAUGAAACAAAUCUCUUUACUGUCUCUAUUUAUUAUAUCGACAUUUUUAAUAUCGUGUGUUCUUAAUUCUUAAUAAUCUUGUUGGGUGUAACUCUAAAAUUUCCAGAUAUGUCAAUGGAUACUGUACAAGAGCUCCUUCCAGACAGAUGUCAUGUGCUACAAUUUACUAAUAGAUGCUUAUGGGCAAAAAUCUUUGUACAAGAAGGCAGAAGAGACAUAUGUUGAUCUUCUUCAAGCCAGGUGUAUCCCUACUGAAGACACCUAUGCCCUCCUUAUAAAGGCUUACUGUGCAUGUGGAUUGUUAGAAAAGGCUGAAGCUGCCUUUGUUGAUAUGCGAAAGUAUGGCCUUCCUCCAAGUAUGUGUUUACCAAUUCAUUUCUUCUUAGCUUUUAGGGAAAUUGCAUUUUCAAGAAGUUCUUGGACUACAUCAACUAUUUCUUAUAAAACAAAAUUUCCUCAACCUGUAAGAUUCUUUGCCUCAAAAAUUGAUUUUUUGUGGGGUUAAAUUCGUUUUAAAUUUUGAAACCUUGCUCAAUAAUUGCACAGGGCUGUAUUUCUUUUUUCUUUUCGGGGGUGAAGUAUACUAAACGUAGGACAAGAGAAGGUGGGCUCAUGGUCUGCAUAUUUCUUGUUGCUGCUAUACUAGUAGUGAUUACUACUCCUUAUCUACAUCACCAUGCUUAGAGAAUGGUUGAUUAAACCAAGAGGGACCCCUUACUAAUUUAGCUAAACCGGAACUGGAUUAGGCUAGAGGCUCCUGGAUGACAAACUUGCUUCUGUAGCUUUCCUUUAUGAGAUUGCGUGGGUUAUUUCUCUUCUUUUUGUGGUGGUGAAAUACAGGGCAUUAGUUCUGCUUUUGUGUUUCGUUCUCUUAUUUACACAUCUCAGAUUUUCAUUUUUCAAGCUGUUCUGUUGAUACACUUGCAUGCACAUUCAAGGAAGUGAAAAGUGAGCGUAUACUCCAAUUUUGGCCAGGUGAAAUUGUAUACAAUGCUUAUAUUGAUGGGUUAAUGAAGGCUGGAAACCCUCAAAGAGCAAUUGAGAUCUUUCAGCGAAUGAAAAAUGAUGGCUGCCAGCCCUCUACUGACACCUAUACACUGUUGAUCAACCUUCAUGGGAAGGUACGCUCAGUGGUAUUUGGUUCUGAAUUAUUCUGCAAAUCUGAUCUUCUUGAAAUGCCACUGGUCCCAGUAGAAAAUUAUUUGUAACUCGUACGUCUACAAGUCUACAGUGAUACAACAAACAACUUGAAAUAUAUGCAUUUAAUUUCAAACAAUUACCAGACUAAAUUCAAAGAUAUGGUUAUUAAUUCUGAUAACCCUGUACAACAGUGGUGUUUAGGAUCCUUAAAAACUCAUUUUGCUAAUCUUUUUCCUGUACACAGGCAAGUCAAUCUUACAUGGCCUUGAAGUUGUUUAACGAAAUGAGAAGUCAAAAAUGCAGACCAGAUAUCUGCACAUACACAGCUCUGGUGAACGCGUUUGCUAGAGAGGGACUCUGUGAGAAGGCAGAAGAAAUAUUUGAGCAGAUGCAACAAGAUAAGCUUGAGCCUGAUGUGUAUACUUACAACGCGCUCAUGGAAGCUUACAGGUUAGUAUCAUAGAAUGAUAUGGUGUUUCAAUAAUCUUUCAAAGAAAAUGGAAAAGAAUACUGGAGGUGCUGCUUCUUGCUUCCUAGAGAUUCCCAAUAGAACUGAUGAUAUUUAACUAUCUUGUCCUCACAGUCGUGCAGGUUUUCCUUACGGGGCUGCAGAAAUAUUUUCACUCAUGCGGCACAUGGGCUGUGAGCCGGAUAGAGCUUCAUUUAACAUCAUGGUAGAUGCGUAUGGGAGAGCUGGCCUUCAUGAGGGUAAGAUGCUUGAACCAAAUAGUAUCAAUGUACUUUAUUAAGUGAGAAUUGGAAAAAGAUUAAGCUCCAGAGAAUUUGGGAACAGUUUGAGCAUGUAAUGGUUUAAAAACGUUCCGAUCAACUAUACGAACUUGAAGGGAUCUAUAUUGCAACAUUUGGAUUAUAUUUUGGAACAGUGUUCAAUUUUAUUCUGGAGAUCUGCCAUAAUCUUUCUAGGAUUUCCUAGGAAACAAGAUAAAGUUGUAUGAGAUAUUAUCAGGCUAUCAGCAUUUCAUCCGUUUGCGACACCUUUCCUACUUGGAAGAAGUUCCUCUUGUUUUUCGUAUAUGCUCCUCGUAAUUUUGGCUUAAUGAUUUGGCUGCUCCUAUUUGCUUUUUAGAUGCUCAAGCGGUAUUCAAUGAGAUGAAGCGACUAGGAAUAACCCCUACAAUGAAAUCACACAUGCUACUUCUCUGUGCCUACUCAAGAGCAAGAAAUGUGGAUAAAUGCGAAGAAAUUGUUAACCAGAUGAGCGAAUCUGGGCUUGAACCAGACACGUUUGUCCUCAACAGCAUGAUGCACUUGUAUGGCCGCCUGGGCCAAUUUGAAAAGAUGGAGGAAGUUCUAACUGCAAUGGAAAAGGGACCUUAUGGAGCUGAUAUCAGUACAUACAACAUCUUAAUCAACAUAUAUGGACGAGCAGGAUUUUUCGAGAGAAUGGAAGGUAUUUUCCAAUCACUUCCAACCAAAAAUCUGAAACCUGAUGUUGUGACUUGGACUUCAAGAUUGGGAGCCUACUCAAGAAAGAAACUAUACGCAAGAUGCUUGGAAAUCUUUGAAGAAAUGAUUGAUGCUGGAUGUCACCCUGAUGGAGGAACUGCCAAUACUUCUAUCAGCAUGCUCAAGCGAAGAUCAAAUUGAACAGGUUACCACUGUAAUCAGAACAAUGCAUAAGGGCAUGGAGGCUGCUCUUCCUGCAUGAUUAAUGUGUAACAGUCCGGCAGCGCAUAAAGGAGCAAGACCAAGUUGAAGCCGGGGAAGAAAUGAGAGAGGCAUGUUGGAGAAGACUUACCUGCAGCAAAAAGAUAAGGUGAGCACGUGUAUGGUCAAGAUUGGACAAGAAGCACUUACGUGGAGGGCUGAGAUGAAGAAGCUCAUGCGGCUGACAGCUGACAAGGGAGUAAGUUCAAAGGCAAACGACACCGUUUGGGAGAAGAAAAAGAAUCCAAAUACAACACAGAUAAAUAAAACAGCUGUCAAUUCUAUCUGUUAUUCUUAAUUCCCAACUAACCGAGAAUUAUAAUAGAAGGGGGAGGAAGGGGCUGCAGAUAGGCAGGAAAUUGCUUUGAAGCAAAUCUCAUUCACCUAGGAGGCCCGGGCUACCUCGAAGCUGCCCAUAAAUCUAGAUUAGGGUUUAUCAACAUUGCAUUGUUCUUUCAAUUCGAGUUCUUUAAGAUAUUUCAUUUCAGUUGUUAUUUCAAUUUCCCCAGUUUUCUUUUUUUUUAAACCUGUAAGGCUCAGGUCUAAGAAAAGCUAUAAUAAGAAUUCCAGUAUUUUUCCCUUACUUACCAAGUUCAUUACAAGUGGUAUCAGAGCCACGAUUCUCGGAUGGCUGAAGGAACAAGAGUUUCACAACUGAUAGAAACAAUAUCAGGGAUGAAACAACAACAGGAGACGCAACAAUAAAACCAACAGAAUCAGCAGCAAAUAUUGGAAGACAUAGUUCAGCAAUUAAGAAACAUGUCUACCAGGAUGGAUCAGAUGGCUAAGGCCCAUGGGCUUCCCCCCAAUUCUCCCACUAGGUCAGUCAAUGGAAAUACAAGGCAUGAAGUAGUACCACAAGAAGGAAUUCAGCAGGUUCAACUCAAGUCAAUCAGAUUGGAGUUUCCCUGGUUCAAUGGAGAUGAUCCUAUUGGUUGGGUAUAUAAAGCCAAUCAAUAUUUUAACUUUCACAACACUCCAGCUCAACACAGAUUGUUUAUAGCCAGUUUUCACAUGGAAGGAAAGGCCAUAACAUGGUAUUAGGAACUAGAAGAAACCAGAAUUCUCACCAGUUGGGAGGCCUUCGUUAAGGCCCUCCAAAUUCGAUUUGGAACCUCAUCUUAUGAUGACCCCAUGGAGGCCCUCAUAAAUAUCAAACAGACAUCAACAAUAGAGCUCUACAAAACCCAAUUCGAAAUGCUUUCGAACCGGGUCAGAGGGCUGUCUGACUCUCACAGGCUCAGCUGCUUCCUAGGUGGAUUGAAGGAGGAGAUAAGAAUGGGAGUACGAAUGCUAAACCCUCAAAAUUUAGUGGCUGCUUAUGAAUUAGCAAGGAUGCAGGAGGAAAAUCUGAUAAUCAUGAGGAAAUCAUGGAGACCUAGUUUUAUGGGGUUUCAAGGCCGAAACCCAACACCAACUCAGCCCAGGGUUGAAAAUAAACCAGUUCUAGUACAGAGACUCACCCCUCCAUAGAUGAAGGAAAAAAGAGACAAGGGGCUUUGCUUUAAACGUGACAAUAAGUGGGGACCUGGCUAUAGGUGUGGAGGACCCAAGAUAUUCUUGAUAGAGGAAUUAGAGGAGGAGAUGAAGGAUAAAAAUUUUGUUCCUGAAGACCUGAUUGAUUUAGGAGACCCUCAGGAAGAAGGCAAGGAGGGAGUCGACAUAUCCCUCCAUGCAAUCAUUGGAAGUCCAAAUCCUAAAACUAUGAGCGUGUUAGUUAAGCUAAGUGGCCAUAAUUUCGUGGCCUUAAUUGACACAGGAAGUACACAUAAUUUCAUACAUCCAAGGGUAGCAAGAAGAGUAGGGAUGAAGGUUUUAAAACACAAGCCUAUUGGGGUGAACAUUGCAGAUGGUUCCAAGCUGUAGAGUGAGGGAAGCUGCUCAGAUAUCAAACUGAUGAUUCAAAGAGAUCAGUUUGUCACUCGGGCUUAUGUCAUACAGCUGGGAGGAUGCGAUAUGGUGUUAGGAAUCCAGUGGCUCAAAAGUUUAAGGCCUAUUCUCUGGGACUUUUCAGCCUUAAAAAUGGAAUUCCAAAAGGAGGGGAAGAGGGUCUUGAUUUGUGGAAUGGGAGUGGAGAAAUCAGAAGUAGACUGCAGCCCAACCUUUUUACAAGAAUUGAGAAGAGUCGAAGAAGGACUGAUUUUGCAAAUUUAGGAGCUGGGAUCAGUCUAGAAUAAAAUUCCAGAACAGAUUGAGAAUCUGUUGCUAGAAUUCAUGGAAGUUUUUCAAGAGCCAAAAUGAAUCCCACCUAGCAGAUCACAUGAUCACUCUAUACUGUUGAAAGAAGGUACCUCCCCAAUAAGUGUACGUCCUUACAGGUACCCCUACUACCAAAAAUCUGAGAUAGAAAAACUAAUUAAGGAGUUGUUGGUAAUGGGUACUAUAAGACUCAGCCAAAGCCCUUUUUCAUCGCCAGUCCUACUAGUUAGGAAGGCUGAUGGGUCAUGGAGAAUGUGUGUGGACUAUCGUGCCCUCAACAAGGAAACUGUGAAAGACAAGUUUCCCAUACCAGUUGUGGAAGAAUUAUUAGAUGAACUACAUGGUUCUCAAAAUUUUUCCAAGUUAGACCUCCGAUCAGGCUUCCACCAGAUCGGAAUGAAGGAAGAAGAUGUCCCCAAAACAGCCUUUAGAACUCAUAAAGGGCACUAUGAAUUUCUGGUGAUGCCUUUCGGCCUCACAAAUGCCCCUUUCACUUUUCAAGGAUUGAUGAAUGAUAUUUUUCGACCCUAGUUUUAACAUGAAUAGGGUUUUUUUAUAUAAUUUAUGAUAUAAAGACAAAAAGAAUUCAAGGAGAGGAUUUUCCAUGAAUAUGUAAAAUAUGUAAUUGGAUUGAAAUCUUAUCAUAGAGCAAUAUCUUAGACACUUUCUAUGGAAAAUAUGUAAAGGUGCCCAUCAAAACAUUUUCCAAGAAAAAAUAAUACAGUAAUUAUUUUUAUUGUUAUUGUUGUUGUUAUUAUUAUUAUUAUUUUAUGCUCGUAUAUACGAUUAGGAAGUUUUAACAAAGAAAACCGAAAAAGGCAAAACAAGAGUUGCCAAUUCUCUUUAAACUGAAAUAUUAAGGGUAAAAUAAUCAAUAAAAAGUUGAAAAGGAUUAGCGAGUGAGUAUUUGGUGUGAAUUCAUUUACUUGCACCACCUCACCAAGGCCUGGACAAACAGCCACUCCGAGGAUCCAUGUCGUUUAUUCAAUGCGCUUAAUCUUGUGUGUGUGAGUGUCUAUAGUGUUUUCAGUGCCUCUGCUUAUUUAUAUUUUUCAACGGAAGUGUCUCUAAUUUUAAUUUUUCUAUUUUAUUUCUUGUACUUCCAUUACUUUUUAUAUAUAUUUAAUCGCUGUUUUUAUUUUUUAAUUGAUGGUUGUAUCUAUAUUUUUCACCAUUAGAUGUCUAUGUUUUACAGUUAUUAAUGACAUGUAUAUUAAUGGGCAUGUAUCAUCCUUGUUAUGGAAUUCAUCAUUCAUAAAAUCUAAGAUAAAAGAAAACCAAAAUUUAAAAAUACAUGGAAGGAGAAAAAAGAAUUAUUAUUUUUUCAUCAUGAAACAAUGACUUCGUAUGUAUAGUAAGCAGCGGAGUGAGGAAUUGUAGUUUGGGAAUGUCGAAUUAGAUAAAAGAUUUUAGAGGGAGGGCCAAAAUUUUAAAUUUUCUAUUUUUAAAGAUAAAAAUCUGAUUUAUUGAAGAAAAAAAACACCUUGCAGGACCCUGCCCCUGCCAGCCCCUGUAAUUCCUCCAUGUUCGUGUGGCUCUUGAACAGUGUUGGUGGUGCGUGGAAUAUCACUCCAUGGCCAAGGCACAAUCAACGGUGGCCCCUCUUACAACGACACGGACGGCGAAAACGAUCGCUUGCAUGUCCAAAGGUUCACCUCUUGGGAUAUUUGUGUUGAUCGCUACAUUACCAAAAUAGCUUCUCCAUUUCUUCAUGAGAGCACCGCACACAAAUCCAGUCUUGAAAAUAGCAUGCCGUGGAUAAAUUAGAGGGAAGGUAUUUAGUAAUUUGGAGUGGAGAUAGAAACAAAAAUUGUUGAGAGGGAAGGAUCGAUGGAGCAUUGAGUGGGAGAGGGAGAGAGAAGAGUAGAUUAAGCGAUAAGGGGAUUGGCGUCUACAUGUCCCUGUCCGAUCUUUGAGCCCCAUGUGAAGCAGAGGCCAUUCUCGACGUUUUCCUUCUGUUGGCUAUUUUCUCUUAGUGCCAACAAUUGAGUCUCGACGGAAUCGUCGAUCUCUUCUUUCCUAUCUUACACGUUUGAAGGGUAGACAAUUCAAUGUACUAAACAUGAGAAUUUCAACCAUGUUGCUUGCUUUCAGAUCUUCUACAUCACAACCUUGUUUAUACAGGGGACAUGAACGCUAGCUAUUAUUAUAAAAAAAAAAUUCCAAAAUCUCAACCUGAUACCGCAAAAGGCCAUCAUCUGUAUCUAGAUAUACACUAGUUAUUUAACAUGCAAUUCGCACCGGGUUGCAUAAUUAUUAUUUGCAAUUACCAUCCUAGUGAAGAUCAAGCAACUGUUUUCUGCAAAUUCACAAGAAGAAAUUUAGCACCAAAUAUUAUCAUUAUCCGCGCAAAUAAAACCUCAGUUUCAGUGGAUUAAGUCCAAAUAAAUGAGAGAAUGGUAGACUUGGAAGCUAAACCAUUCAUCUAAAAGAGAUGAUACCCAUCGAUUUUGUGGAUUAAAUCCAAAUAAAGUUAUCAAAACCCAGCACAAAAAAUCUUCAACAAUAAAUAUGAUUUCUGCUAGUGAAAGGCAAGCCACCUGGACCUGGUGCCUGUGCUUUCUAAAUGCCAUCACAGCCCCAUUCAAAGAACUUCCAGACAGAGGAUUCUUCAGACCAAUAGAUUUACUAACGGAAGACAAUAAAUUCAAACUGUGAUAUCAGAAUCAAUGUAGAUACCUCCAUAUUUGCAUAAUCCAACAUAAAAAGGACAACUUUUAUGUUUUGGCAGCGCCUCUACAGGAAUUAUACAUAAGUGGUUGCCCCAUUCUAAGGAAACGUUACGGUAAGGAGGAGAUGGGUGAAGGUUGGCAAAAGAUUUCUCACAUCCCUGACAUUUAUUUUGAUGAUAUAUUAUUAUAUGUGAGAAAGACAGAACUCUUUAAUUAGAACCGGCAGGAGCAUGUAAAUUCUUCUACCAGUGUUAAUUCUUAACGGUAUAAUAUUUUACUAUAUUUUAACAAUCCAUUUUAAUUAAUUAUGUAAGUCAUAGUUAGGUCACUGGGAUUUUUGUCAUUCAGAAAAUGGAAUGCUCAUUUUAACAUCUACCAUUCAUUGGGUUGAUUUGGUUAUGACACGUUUGCUUUUGGUCUGUGUUUGACAGCUUGGGCUUAGAAGAUACUGAAGAGCUACUUCAGAGUGGCUUCCGAUUUACUUUGUGCAUUUGAAGAUUUUCCCUUAAUAUUUUUGGAAUCAAAUCGAAGGGCAUUCUGGUAUAAUCAAAUGGAGGAUUUCAUUCAGUGUUGUAUUAAGCACCGUAUGUUUCAUACACCUCCUUACUGUAAUUGGAUUGAAAUCAUUUGUAAUCUAUUGUUGACUUGGAUUUUAUUUCCUACUUCCCAUUUAUUCUCACAUCCUCUCUCUCUCUCUCUCUGUUUUUUAUUCUUUUUUAAUUAUUGUGCACCCCAAACUAGAUUACCUUGUGUACCCCAAACUACAUUACCUCUUAAGGAAUUAUUGUUAACCCCAACUUACAUGUAAAUGUGCAAUCGUUGAUGGAUCUCGAGUUGGCGGAAUCUCUUUAAUGAUUUAGUUCUUAAAAAUAGCUAUUCUUCCGUAAAUGGUGUUCAUAAAUAUGUCCAUGACAUAAAAAAAAAAAGAAAAAGGAUAUUAACUAAUACAUGGUUUCUAUUUCAAGAGCCAUCAUUAAAAGUACAAAAUUCUGAUUGCCAAAUUCUUCUCUACCAAAUAAAAGUUUGAUUAAAUUGAAUUGAAUAUAUAGCACAAUUGAAUAGCAUCAAAUACUCAAUGGAUCAGCUAAAAAAAACAAAUUACCAAAACAUAGAUUCUAAACAUAAUAACAAUUUGAAAUGGUAGAGGAUAUUCAGUCGACUUGUGUAUUUAGCAUCGUACACCUUAUGCCCUAGAGUAGUAUUAGGAUGAGUUCUCUUCUUGAAAAUAUUGUGCACCCUAAUCCCACAUGGAAGUGUGUGAUCAACCCCAUGAGAAUCAUUAUACAUCCCAACUCACAUGCAAAUGUACAAUUCCUUGUGGACCUCGGGUUGUGGGCUCUUCCCUAUGAUUUGGUUCGUGGGAGUGGCUAAUUGUUUACGUAUCCAAGAAUAUAUAUGCGAUCUAAAAAAAUAUAAAAAAGGGGAUAUUAACUGAUACAUGGUUUCCAGUUCAAGAGCCAUCAUCAAAAUUACAAGAUUCUUAUUGCCAAAUUCUUCUCAACCAAAUAAAAGUUUCAUUAAAUUGAAUUGAAUAGCAUCAAAUAUUCAAUGGAUCAGCUAAAUAAAAGGUACUGUUUGUAAAAACAAAUUUAAUAUAUCUCAAAAUUAAGCAGAUUAUUUUGGUAAUUAAAAUAAGAACUUCAAAAAAUAUAAUAAAGAAAUGAAUUAAUAUGGCCUGACGUAGUUAAAACAUAUCGGUAGACUCGAGUAACUUGUUUAAAUAUUAUUGGUUUUUUUUUUGAAAAAAUAAUUUUGGUCAAAACGAUGUUAUUUUAAAUUUUUUUAUAAAAAAAUUAGAUUAACUUGGGUUAACCCUCCUAUAUUAUACCUAAUUCUUGACCCGGGACGUUGAACCUCAAGUAAAGUUUUAAAAACGUUGUCCCUAUAAUUUUUUUUCUAACAAUGUAGCACUAUAUUCACUUUUCAUUUCUUUAAUUUCACCAUUUUUAUCUUGAUUUAAGUUUUUUUAAUUUAAUUUAAUCAAUUUUAUUAUCGGUUAAAUUUCUUAUAUUUUAAUAGCCUAAAAAAAUUAUAAUAAGUGGUUUACAUUACCAUACAACAAAAAAUUAAUAGCAUACAUAUCUACAGUCAUGAUUGAUUAAAUAUUGAAAAAACUUAUCAAGAAAAUUAAUAUAAUCAAGAAUAAAGAGUUCAGAAUUUUUGUUAAAAUUCAAAAAAAUGGUGAAAUGUCUGAUUUUUAGGGAUAAUGUCAACAAUUUCAUUAAAUCUAAAAAAGUUAUGAAAUCUCCUAUCUUCAAGGAUUAACGUGAAAGUUUUUGUUAAAAUUCAAGAAAUUGUGAAAUCUAUUGUCUUUAGGGAUUAAUGUAAAAAAAAUUAAAAAAUUAAUGAGACCUCCUAUUUUAGAGAAUGAAGAUGGCAAAAUUUUUGUUAAAAUUCUUUUAUUCAUAACAGUUGAGAUUAAAAUAAUUUAGAAAAACAUAAAUAAUGGUAAUUUUUCAUUUAAAAAAAUAUGAUAAGGAUGAUGUUUAACCUAAUACUUGAAUCUUUAAAAAACUAAUAUCAAUUUUAGAAUUUUUAAAUUUUUUUAAUUAUUAGAUAACAAUUCUUUUUAUUGCGUUAGUCACGGUGUGUUGCUAAAAUUAACAUCAUAUUUUACUAUCAUUACACUAUAAAAAAACAAAAAACAAUAUGUAACGGCUCUUCAAAAUAUACUAGCUUUGAUACCCGCGCGAUGCCGUGGGUUAUUUUUUUUUGCAUAAAAAAUAUUAAAAAGAAUAAAAAUUUAAAAAUCUUGGGUUUUUCUACAAAGUUAUACCCAAGAAUCUUGGGUUUGGCUGCAACGCCUGACCUAAGAGUAAUAUUUAUAAUAUUAAUAAUAAAAUUAAACUUGCAUGACCCAAGUUUAAGUGAGUCUGGCUGUAACACCGGACCCAAAAAUACUGGAUGUAGGUCUAGCUAUAAGGUCGUGUCACAAAAGUGUGAUAAUUAAAUAGAUUAAUUACAAAAAACAAAAAAAAUCAACAGGAAGGAAAAAACUAAUGAAGAAAAAGAAAAAAAAUUGAAUUAAUUGGGUUAACCUUUUAAACCAGGUUAUCCCGUAAAACCUGAGAUAUGCGUUAUCAACGUUUGAUAACUAAAUAGAAAAAAAAAUGACGGGUUUACCUAGAAUUAACCAGGUUAACCCAUCAAAUCAAGUUAACCCGUCAAGCCCAGGAUACGUGUCAUGAAAGUAUGAAAGUCUAAUAAUUAAAUAGAAAGAAAAUUAACUUUAACAAACUAAACUAAAUGAAAAAAAUAACUCGUCAAAUCAGGUUAACCCAUCAAACCCGAGAUUCGUAUUAUGAAAAUCUGAUAACUAAAUAAAACAAAUUUAACAUUAACAAACUAAAUCAAACAAAAAAAAUUCAUUAAAAAAAUAAAAAGAAAAAACAAAAGAAAAAAACAGUUAUAUAAUAUAAUACAAUAUAAUUAUAAUUAUAAUGAAAAAACGUGGGGAAAAUUUAAAAAAAUGGAAAAAAAGUGGGGAAAGCUAAAGCUAAAGCUAAAUUCUCAACCAACUCAAUAUUUAAAAAAUAAAUUUAACAAAGAUAAUUUAAAAAAAAAAACAUGUGGGGGAAACACUAUAGCCAAACAAAAACCAUGUAAGGGAAACACUGUAGUAAUCCAUAGUAUUUUUUUUUUAAAAAAAGCUACAAAGCUAAUCUCUCAACCAGUUCAAUAUAUAAAAAAAACGGAAAAAGGCUAUCUAAAAAAAAAAAGUCAAUUUUGGGUAAAAGAAAUGAAAAAAAAUGUACAAAAAAGGAAACAAAAGCGAAAAAAAAACACGUGGGGAAAGCUACAGUGUUUUAAAGAAAAAGACAAAAAAACUAAAUUUUCAACCAGCUCAAUAGUAAAAAAAUAAAAUCAACAAAAAUAAUUCUGAAAAAAAAAAAAACAAAAAAAAUAUGUAAAAAAUGACAAUUUUGGAAAAAAAAAAACAUAUGGGGAAAGUUAAAGCUAGAUUAUCAGCCAGCUCAAUAUUGAAAAAAUAAAUUCGAUAAAGAUAAUUUUUUAAAAAAAAUAUAUGGGGAAACACUGCAGCAAAACAAAAACUAUAUAGGGGAAACACUGUAGCAAUCCAUAUUGUUUUUUUUUAAAAAACUACAAAGCUAAAUUCUCAACCAACUUAAUAAAAAAAAAAAAAUCUAAAAAGAUCAUUUUGAAAAAAAAAAAAGAAUAAAGAAAUCAUAAAAAAAAGAGAAAACAAUGUAUGAGAAUAUUAUAGCAAUCCACAACGAGAUGAUUUGCCCGCGCGCUGCCGCGGACUUAUAAAACAAAUGCACUUGAUAGUGUUAUAAUUGUGAACCAGCGCUAGAUAAGUAAUAGAAAUUAAAGGUAUGAUGGAGCAAAUAUUUCAUGACGGAAAAAAAAGUUAUGUUGGUGAUCAAAAACUUAGAGACUGAACAAAAUGAUUUGUAGCAAUCUACAGUGUUUUGUGAGGAAAGAUACAGUGAUUUCGCCACAUGAUUUAGCUUUUCAGUUAAUAAAAAGCAAAAAAAAAUACAAAGCUAAACUCUCUACCAACUUAAUAUUAAAAAAAAACCAACAAAGAUAAUUUUGGAAGAAAAAAAACCCAUGAGAAAAAACGUUGCAGCAAUUGACAAUGUUUUGUGAGGAAAACUAUAGCGUUUUUCCCAAUAAAAUAAACUAAAAAACUAUUUAGAGAAAUAUUAUAACAAUCCAUAGUGUUUUGUGAGAAAAACUACAACGCUUUCCUCAUAUGAUUUAGCUUUAUUGUAAUUAUAAUUCUGAACCAACUCAAUAUUAAAAAAAAAAUCGAUAAAGAUAAUUUUAGAAAAAAUCAUAAAAAAAUCACAUGGAAAAACACUGCAACAAUUCACAGUGUUUUAAAGAAAAAAAUAACAAAGCUAAAUUCUUAAUCGGCUCAAUAUUAAAAAAAAUCAACAGAGAUAAUUUUAGAAAAAACAAAUAACAAAACAAACACAAAAAAAAGGGAAAAAAAUCAUGUUGGAAACACUGUAGCAUUUCACAGUGUUUUGUGAUGAAAUCUACCGUGCUUCCCCACAUGAUUUAGCCUUAUUUGUAAUGACUUGUAAUUGUAAUUCACAAACAACUCAAUAUUAAAAAAAUAAAAUUAAAAAAGAUAAUUUGAAAAAAAUUAUAACAAAAAAACUAUACGGAGAGAUACUGUAGCAAUCCACAAUGUUUUAUGAGCAAAGCUACAAUACUUUCCCCACAUGAUUAAGCUUUAUUACAAAGUUAAAUUUUAACCAACUCAAUAUUUUAAAAAAAUAAAAUCGACGAAAAUAAUUUUGGAAAAAAAUAUUACGAAAAAAAACACAAAAGAAACUGGAAAAAACCAUGUGAGGAAAAACUGUAUCAAUCCAUAGUGUUUUUUGAGGAAAAACUUGUAUUUACUUGUAAUUUUAAUUUUUAACCAGCUUAAUAUUUAAAAAAUAAAAUUGACAAAGAUAAUUUUAGGAAAAAACAUAACAAAAACAGAAAAAAACCAUGUGGAAAAAAACAUUGUAGCAACCAACAGUAAUUUUCGAGGAAAGUUACAGUGCUUUCUUCACAUAUUGUAACUGUAAUUUUUAACCAGCUCAAUAUUAAAAAAUAAAAUAAAAAAGAUAAUUUCGGAGAAAAUCAGAAAAAAAACCACGCGGAGAAACACUGUAGCAAUCAACAAUGUUUUAAAAAAAAUUACAAAACUAAAUUCUCAAUCAGCUCCAUAUUAAAAAAAAUAAAAAAUAUAAUUUUGAAAAAUAAAGAAAUAAAAUAGAAAAACUAUGUGGAAAAACAUCGCAGCAAUCCACAGUAUUUUUAAGAAAAAAAUUACAAAACAAAAUUUUUAAUCAUGUCAAUAUUUAAAAAGUAAAAUCAACAAAAAUAAUUUUGGAAAAAACAAAAGAAAAAAUUAGGAAAGUUGAAAAAAAAAAAAUUUGAAAAAAAAUUUUUUGAAAAAAAAAAAUAAAAAAAAAACAAAAAAAAAAAGAAAAAAGAGAAAAGUUAAUAAAAAAAAGAAGAGAAGAAUCACUGUGGAUUACUGUUGUAAUCCACAGUAAAAUGUGUGUGGGGGGAACAGUGAUUCCCCCACACCAUUUAGAGUAUGUUUUAAUGUUUUAAAGAAAAAAACUACAUAGUUAAAUUUUUAACCAGUUCAAUAUUUAAAAAAAUUAGCAAAGUUAAUUUUGAAACAAAUUUUUUUUAAAAAAAAAACAAAAAAAAAGAAGAAAUCAAUUUUGGGUAAAAAAAAUGAAAAAAAAAACAUGUAAAAAAAAAACUGCUGCUACAGUGAAAAACCCACAUGUUUUAGAGUUCUUUAAUUUAAGGACACUUUUUACUGUAACUAAAUAUUUUCGAUCCGUAACAAAAUUAUCAGAAAUGAUAAUUAUAUAUAAUGUCAUAAUUAAGUUGAUGCAGCGACACCAAACCCUCUAUAAAAUAGAUUAAAGAUCCAAUUUAAUAAUUUGAUGAAAUUGAAAAUUAAAGAUCUAAUUUAAUAAUUUGAAGGAAUUUGAUAUGAUUUAUAUAUUACUUUCAAAUUAUAUGUAAUCUUUUAUGUUAUGAAAAGGAGGUUUGAAUUCAAGAUUUUCUAGGAAGAAUUAGCAACAAUAUGUAAAGGCAGGUUCAUCUGCAUCGAUACGAGAGAGUUUUAUUUGCUAGGACAUGCCUUGUUGUAUGAUUUAUACAGUGUUUGAUUUUGUACUUCAACAACAUUUAAAAAAAAAUUAAAUUUUGAAACACUACAAAAACUAAAAAAAAAAAAUCUUGAGACACUAAAAUACAAGCUUCCUUUUUUUUUUUUCCAACCUACAAGUUGUGCUCUCCAAAAACUAAUAAAAAAAAACUAAUAAAAACUAACUUAAUUUGAGACACUAAAAUAAAAAAAUGUUGAGACACUAAAAUACAAGCUUCACCUGCAACGCCAAACCCUAAGUAUAUAAACUAACUUCCAUUCACAAUCAUCAGCCGCCUCCUUCUCUUCACCCUCUCUUUCUCUCUGCUCAUCCCGUCAUCAUUGCUUCUCUCUCUCUCUCUCUCUCUCUCUCUCUCUCUCUUUCCAAUCAGAACUAAACAGACGAUGGCUGAGGCACUUCUAUCUCCGAUCUUGGAGCAGUUAACCACGAUCGUUGCUCAACAGGUAUUUUUCUACCAUCUGCAAUAACCUGAUUUACCUAGCAGAGAUAAGAAAUAUAUAUGAAGUUCAAGCCUUUUUUCUUCCUAUCAUAAAAAUAAUACUUUUAACUUGAAUAAAUAAAAAUAAUAUUUUAAAUCCUCAAGUAUAUAUUUGGAUUUUAUUAAAGAAUCUUCUUUUUCUUGUUUUAUUAUUUUUCAUAUUUCCAAAAAUAACCUAAAGAAAAUAUAUCAUUCCAAAUAUAGGAAAACCGAAAAAGGCAAAACAAGAAAUAUUAAGGGUAAAAUAAUCAAUAAAAAGUUCAAAGGAUUACCGAGCGAGUAUAUAUAUAUAUAUAAGGUAAAAUAUCUAUAGUUUAAUGUAAAAUAAAAACCAGAUUUUAUGUCGGUUCAAAGGAGAAAUCCUUCUCUCGGGAGAACAUUAAACUCUUUCCAUGCCUAUAUUAAUUAUAUAUAUAUAUAUAUACACGUUCAGGUUUAACGUUUUACCAUUUAAGAUUCAUUUUAUACCUUCUUGUACAGUAGCAUAGUGCAGACUGAUAUCAUCAUAAUGAUGAUAAAAAGAAAAAAAAUAUAUUAUUAUUUCUAAUAAAUAUUUUAUAUAUAAAUUAUUAAUAUAGUAAAUCCAUUUCACAAUAAAAUAUAUUAAUACAAAAUAGAAAUGUUUCCUAUGCUUGAACUUCCUUGUCUUUUCCACACUAAUAGGUACUGGAAGAGGUGAACCUAGUAGGGGGUGUGAAAUUGUCUUCAAAUCAGAUAAAUGUUUCCCAUGCUUAACGUUUCUUUUCCUUUGUAAACUAAUAGGUACAAGAAGAGGUGAACCUAGUAGUGGGUGUGAAGAAACAAUGUGACAAGCUGAAAAGCAAUCUCCUUGAUAUCCAAUCUGUCCUUGAAGAUGCAGAUAGAAAACAAGUUAAGGAUAAGGCUGUAAGAAAUUGGGUAGACAAGCUCAAAGAUGCAUGUUAUGAUAUGGAUGACGUGCUAGAUGAAUGGAGCACUGCAAUUCUUAGAUGGAAAAUGGAGGAAGCUGAAGAAAAUACUCACAGCCGACAGAAGAUACAGUGUUCCUUCCUGGGAUCUCCUUGCUUUUGUUUCAAUCAAGUGGUCCGACGUCGCGACAUUGCCCUGAAGAUCAAAGAAGUUAGUGAAAAAGUGGAUGACAUUGCCAAAGAGAGAGCUAAGUAUGGCUUUGAUCUGUACAAAGGCACUGAUGAACUCCAGCGACUAACAACUACCUCCUUUGUUGAUGAAUCAAGCGUGAUUGGUCGAGAUGGUGAAAAGAGAAAUGUUGUAAGCAAGUUGCUGGCUGAAAGUAGUCACGAAGCACGGGACGUGGAUGUCAUCUCUCUAGUAGGGCUGGGCGGAAUUGGAAAAACAACUCUCGCCCAACUAGCAUUUAAUGAUUCUGAGGUUACGGCUCAUUUUGAGAAAAAGAUAUGGGUGUGUGUUUCAGAACCAUUUGAUGAGAUUAGAAUAGCCAAAGCUAUCCUUGAGCAGCUUGAAGGGAGACCAACGAAUUUGGUUGAAUUGCAAUCCCUUUUGCAAGGGGUUUCUGAAUCCAUUACUGGAAAGAGGCUCCUUCUUGUCCUUGAUGAUGUAUGGACAGAAAAUCAUGGACAAUGGGAACAACUGAAACCAUCUCUCACAGGCUGUGCACGAGGAAGCAGAAUUCUAGUGACCACUCGUAAGGACGCUGUGGCAACGAUGAUGGGAACUGACCACCGGAUCAACAUUGAGAAAUUGUCCGAUGAGAUAUGCAGGUCAAUAUUCAAUCAUGUGGCAUUCCAGGAAAGAAGCGAAGAUGAGCGCGAAAGAUUGACAGAUAUCGGCGAUAAAAUUGCAAACAAGUGCAAGGGCUUGCCGCUAGCUGCCAAGGUAUUAGGAGGUCUAAUGCAGUCUAAAAGAACAAGAGAAGAGUGGGAACGUGUUUUAUCUAGCGAACUGUGGAGGCUAGAUGAGGUUGAUAGAGAUCAGGUUGAAAGUCGAAUAUUUAUACCUUUGCUUUUGAGUUACUACGAUUUACCUUCUGUGGUAAGACGAUGUUUCUUGUACUGUGCCAUGUUUCCAAAAGACUUCGAGAUGGUCAAAGAUGAAUUGGUGAAGAUGUGGAUGGCUCAAGGUUACAUCAAGGAGACUUCAGGUGGAGAUAUGGAGCUUGUAGGAGAGCGGUACUUUCAUGUCUUGGCAGCGCGCUCUUUCUUCCAAGAUUUUGAGACGGAUAGAUUUGAAGGAAUGAAAUUCAAGAUGCAUGAUAUAGUGCAUGAUUUUGCCCAAUAUAUGACAAAAAAUGAAUGUCUAACCGUGGAUGUCAAUACACUUGGAGGAGCAACAGUGGAGACUUCAAUUGAAAGGGUUCGUCAUUUAAGCAUGAUGGUGUCAGAGGAGACAUCUUUUCCCGUGUCUAUUCACAAAGCCAAAGGUCUUCGCAGCCUCUUGAUCUACACUAGAGACCCUUCGUUUGGAGCUGCACUGCCUGAUUUGUUCAAGCAGUUGACAUGCAUCCGGUCAUUGGAUUUGUCAACGUCUUCUAUCAAAGAAAUACCGAACGAGGUAGGGAAAUUGAUACAUUUGAGACACCUCAAUCUGGCAUCUUGUGGAGAGUUGGAGUCCCUGCCAGAAACCAUGUGUGAUUUAUGCAAUCUGCAAUCCCUAGACGUUACUUGGUGUCGGUCUCUCAAGGAAUUGCCCAAUGCGAUUGGAAAACUUAUCAAAUUGAGGCAUCUCCGGAUUUAUCGUUCAGGUGUGGACUUCAUACCAAAGGGAAUAGAGAGGAUAACAUGUCUUCGAACAUUAGAUGUGUUUAAAGUGUGUGGUGGUGGUGAGAAUGAAAGUAAAGCAGCUAAUCUAAGAGAAUUAAAAAACUUAAAUCACAUUGGAGGGAGCUUUAGUAUACGGAAUCUAGGAGGAGGUAUAGAAGAUGCGAGUGACGCUGCAGAAGCACAACUCAAGAAUAAGAAGCGCCUGCUUCGUUUGGAAUUGGGUUUCGACUACAACCAGGAGAACGGCAUUUUAAUUGAAGCUUUACAGCCUCCGUCAGACUUGGAAUGUCUGACCAUAUCUAGUUACGGAGGGUUGGAUUUGCCACAUUGGAUGAUGACAUUAACCAGAUUACAGGAGCUUAGACUUGAUGAUUGUACAAACCUGGAGGUCUUGCGUCCGUUGGGAGGAUUGCCCAACCUUGAAAUCCUGGUACUGAGCUCGUUGAAGGUGAGAAGGCUGGAUGCUGGAUUUUUAGGUAUAGAAAAGGAUGAGAAUGCCAGUAUUAAUGAAGGAGAAAUUGCAAGGGUCACUGCUUUCCCCAAAUUAAAAAGACUUGAUUUUAGGCAUCUCUUAGAAGUAGAAGAGUGGGAAGGAAUUGAAAGGAGAGUGGGAGAAGAAGAUGUCAACACAACUUCAAUAAUAUCCAUUAUGCCACAACUUCAAUAUUUGAGAAUUAUCAAUUGCCCGUUGCUGAGAGCACUACCAGACUAUGUUUUGGCAGCGCCUCUACAGGAAUUAGACAUAAGGUGGUGCACCAUUCUAAGGAAACGUUACGGGAAGGAGGAGAUGGGUGAAGAUUGGCAAAAGAUUUCUCACAUCCCAAACAGUUAUUUUUAUGAUUAGGUGAGAAAGGCAGAACUCUUUAGAACCUGCUUUGAGUGUAUUAAUUAUUUGCUUUGGUGUUUGCUAAGGUUGAGUGUAAAUAAUAUGUAAGCCUUACCAUUUACUCUAUGUGACUGUUUCAGUGGAUUAAAUCCAAGAAAUUCUUAAACCUCAGUUUCAGUGGAUUUCAUUCAAUGUGACUUUACUGUAAUUCGAUUUUAUUUCCUACUUACCAUUUACUCUCUCAUCCUCUCCCUCUCCCUCUCUCUCUCUCUCUCUCUCUACUGUAAUUGGUUUUAUUUCCUACUUACCAUUUACUCUAUCAAAAGCAGCUGUCAUAUUAUCUCGCUCACGUGAAGCUUAUUCCUUACUUAAAUUCUCCAAAUGCCACUCUAAAAAAAUUGCGUUUGAAAUUUCAACUACUGUAACUCAUAUCUAUAAUUAAUCUAUAUAUUUUAACAUCCUCUCUCUCUCUUUCUCUCUCUCAACAUAAAAUGAUAUGUAAUUCAUAUGUUUCUUUGAGUGUAUUAAUUAUUUAUUAUUGAAUAAAUAAUAAAUAAUUGAAGUAAGGAGAAAGGAAUUAUUUAUUAUUGAAGUAAUAAAUUAUUUAUUACUUCUUCGAGUAAUAUUAAUUAUUUAUUACUUCUUUGUGAUUUACUUCUUUGAGUGUAUUAAUUAUUUAUUAUUGAAGUAAGGAGAAAGGAAUUGAAUUUAGAAUGCUAAAAGUAAGCCAUGGGGGCAGCUGAAGCACAGAGGUGGUAAUUAAGCAAGUAAUCUAGCUAGAUUGCUGCCCUUGGAAGUUAUUAGUGUCACUUCCAAUGCAAGUUCUCUACAAUUUUUAAUCUUUGUAUCGAAGGCUUCAUGCAUGAAAUAAUUUAUUGCUGGAGGAGGAGCAGGGGCCCCUAGCUGCUGUUUAAUAACGAGGCACAUUGCAAUUUUUAAAAAUGUUUUUUUUUUUAUCUAAAGAUAUAUUAAAAUAUCUUCUUAGAUUUUUUUAUUUUUUAUAUUAAUACAUUAAAAUUAUAUAAAAAAAUACUAGAAAAAUAUUAAUUUGACUUUUUAAAGCCAAUAUACACUUUAAAAUACAUUUAAACACAAUUUCAAAUGCAAAAACAAAAAAGUUUAUGAAUCCUAUCAGCCCCAAGGUUGUAUUGUACAUUUAUUAUUGUAAUGUGAGACACGUCUUUCUAAACCAAUAUAUUUGUAAAAUUUAAAAGUUAACUCUUCAUUCAAAUUAUUUAAAUAACCUGAUAUGAGAUAUAUCAUACAUAAUUAUUAGAUUAAUUAAUUCUGAAAAUUUAAUUAAUUAAUUCUGAAAUUAACAAUAAAAAUUAUUUAUGUUAUAUAAUGUAAAUUGUCAAAAAAAAUUUUAACAUCUAAAUCUAUUGAGUUAAUGUAUCUCGUAUAUAAAACUAUAUUUUAACAACAAUUUUGUCCAUGCUUUUCUCAGAGGGAAGAUUGUUAAAGACUUCAACUAAACCAUGAAAAAAAAAUUCACACAAAGCCCUAGCACCAAGUACCAUGGGCCAGCGCUCCCAUGGCCAGGCGAAAAGCUCCCCUGAAGAGCAACAUGUAGAAUUCAGGUAAUAGCUAUCACGCACUUUAAUAAGUUCAAUUAUUAGUAUUUUUAGCUGAAAUAUUGCACAAAAACUGCUAUAGAGAAACCCAUAUUUUGAUUUUGCAAUACUAAAAUGUUGCAUAAAGUUAAAAGUAUGUGUAACUGUGUAAACCAGUGGAACUGUGUAAAGGGGACUUAUGAUUAUGUUUAAAUGAAUUUUUUAAAUAAAUUGCAUGUCUUCACCAACUUUUACCUGCUUUUCUCACUUUAAUUUCUUUUCUUACUUUAAUUUUUUUUCUUUCCAUUCAACUUUCACCCAAAAAAAAAACAUGUAAUUGGAUUCUAAUAUUCAACAAAAAAAAAAUCAACUUAAUUGUUAAAAUAAAAUUUAGAGAUUAAAUUAAAAAUUUUCAAAAAUUUCAUUGCUCCAACCCGCAAUGAGAGAGGGUAAUAAUAAUUUAAUAAACAGUAAAAAAACCCCACGCUUUAGCUUUAUACUUAAUAUUGAAGAUUUAUAUUUUUAAUAAAUUCAACAAAAUAUACUGAAUGUCUAGAAGCUUGGUGGCCAAGUUCAGAUCAUGAGUUUUCGUUUAUUGUCGAGGAUGAUUUGGAGGUUUCGCCGCUGUUUUAUAAAUUUGUGAGGGGUUUGAUUGUUAAUUACCGUUACAAUGUGUCGAAUUUUAGUCCUUUUAUAUAUGAUAUGGUGCUUCACUUCAGCGUCAACGGUUUGUCCCAGGGACUGCUCUUUUUUCAGGUUUUGUACUUGUUAGACUGGAUGUUUUAAUGUUCAAUGUUAAGGUUUCCAGAUUUCUUGAUUUGUUAUAAAAAAUUGAAUUCAUUAUAUUCUUUAAAUAUCCUUGGAUGUUUUUGAGUUAAAAAUCCACUAUUACCAUUAUUGUCGCCACCCCAAUCCUUUUUCUAUCCUAUAAGUAAAUUCUUGAAUUUAAUAAAUUUUAGUGCUUAAUUUAUAAAAUUAUUUUCAAUCAAGUCACACUUGAUUAAUUAUCUUAAUUUAAUUUCUGACUAAUGAUUCUUAAUGUAUAUGACCCAUUGAGUUUCUAAUAUGUUGGCCCCAAAUAUAAGUUAUGUUUUAAUGUUCAAUGUUAAGGUUUCCAGAUUUCUUGAUUUGUUAUAAAAAAUUGAAUUCAUUAUAUUCUUUAAAUAUCCUUGGAUGUUAACGUUUCUAAGGUGUUUUGGGUCAAAAGAACCUUGAGCUCAAUUUUCUAGCCACCACAGUGGUUGAAAUUUGAGCAAAAUAGACGACGCGUUGUUUAUUUUGACAGACAACAUGUCAUUUGAUUUAUUUAUUUUUUUAAAAUAAAACGAAUGACAUGUCGUCCACCCCAGGUGCAUUUUAAAAAACGACCUAGUCACGUGGUCCUUCCUUGGCAGGCCCGUGCAUGGGCCCUGAUGAAAGGGGUUAGGUAGACCCAGCAACGCCUAACCUUUUUUUUAUUUUUUUUUAUUUCAAUUAAUGCUUCUUUUUUUAUUUAAAAAGAAACUUUAUUAUAUUUAUAUUAAUACACUUUCUCUUUUUUAUUUUGUUUAAAAAGCCUUUUUUAAAAGAUGAUGAUUUUUUGGAUAUCCAUUUAAUUUUCAAAGAGAUUUUCCUUAUUCAUCUAUAAUUAAUGCCAAAUAAAUUGUUUCACAUCAAAUUAACCUCUACAUUUUGUUUCACUUUUGAAACUCAAAAUGACAAGUCAUUUCCAUAGAAACAUACAAAUAGAAAAAUGACCGAUGCAUAAUACUUAAACCCAAUGUGAAGCAAUGGCCAAGUAUAGACUUGCCUUUGCCUUUUUCCUUUUUACACAUAUUUUCUCAUUGUUUCAGUGACAUUUGCUUGCAUCAACCUUGUAGGAAAUUAGUUGCUUUAUACUGAAGUUUCAGAAUCAUACUCUAACCCCAGUCUUAAGCAAAUUAUCUUAAUUUGCAGUAUAUAUUGCCUAAACUUCAUUGAGAAUAACCUCAAAUUAAUUUUCUCUGGCACUCCACAGUAGAUCACUAUCCUUCCUAUCUUCAUCAACUUCUCAUUUCAUCAGUCAACAACGCCCCAUUACUUUCUCUCCUUUUUCUUGACACAUUCAGUAGUAAGAACAACAAUGGCUGACGCACUUGUAUCCCCAAUUUUGGAGCAGUUAACCACGAUCGUUGCUCGACAGGUACUCUUUUUUGUUUCUUUCUUUUUUUUUUGUUUUUUUUAUAAUCAACAGGUACUUAAUUACUUUUCUACAAUUUUGCAAUUAACCUAACAUUUAUAGUUCAUUAUACAUUGAUUUCAUUAUCUUAUAGAAUAUCUGUUAAUUUGUCAGAAGCUAAAUCAGUAGCUUGAUUUAUAUAUUAUCACAUUGCAUGUUAUCAAAUAAAAUACACACACAGACACACAAGAUAGCGGGUUCUUACGAUUCUCUUUCUUUAUAUCUUUUGUGCUAUACAAAAUAUGGUUAUUGUGAUGGCUGGUUAGAACAAAUCAAUAUAGUAAAAUAGUAGUAAAUUCCUUUUUCAAUAAUUCCUUAUCAUAUUUGAAUGCAUAAAUCAUUAUAUUUGUAAUAAAAUUAUUAUGAUAAAAUGAUUAAAAUAAAUAUAGUCAAAUAUUCGAUUAAUUACAAACAUGAUUAUAGAAAUUCUAAUAUUUCUUUUUUAUUUUGAUAUCAACCUCACAGAAUUUUUAAAAAAAUAGACUAUGAUAAUUAUUAAAAGUCACCUAAUAAUAUUGUGAAAUUGCAAUGUAUUGCGCUCCACAAUUAUAUGAUUAUUAUAAUAUCUAUGAAUUCUAUCUUUUAUCUAAAGAAAUCCUUUAUUCAAAUAAAAUAUAUUUUAAUUCACGCAUCUAGUAAAUUUUAGUACAAUAAUUGUGCAUUAGCAUUACAUUAUUUACGAGUCAUUUUAUUUUAGAGAGUUUAUUAUAUAUAAUUUGAAUAUAAUUAACAAUAUAAAUAUAUUAAUUGCUACUGUGAAAAAGUUUAAUAAAAAUGAUUUAAUCUAUUAAUUGCUAAAAAAUAAGAAUUUGUACUGAAAUCAUAGAAAUGUUUCCUAUGCUUAACGUUUCUUUUCCUCUGUACACUAAUAGGUACAAGAACAGGUGAACCUAGUAGUGGGUGUGAAGAAACAAUGUGACAAGCUGAAAAGCAAUCUCCUUGAUAUCCAAUCUGUCCUUGAAGAUGCAGAUAGAAAACAAGUGAAGGAUAAGGCUGUAAGAGAUUGGCUAGACAAGCUCAAAGAUGCAUGUUAUGAUAUGGAUGACGUGCUAGAUGAAUGGAAGCACUGCAAUUCUUCGAUGGAAAAUGGAGGAAGCUGUAGAAAAUACUCACAGCCGACAGAAGAUACAGUGUUCCUUCCUGGGAUCUCCUUGCUUUUGUUUCAAUCAAGUGGUUCGACGUCGCGACAUUGCCCUGAAGAUCAAAGAAGUUAGUGAAAAAGUGGAUGACAUUGCCAAAGAGAGAGCUAAGUAUGGCUUUGAUCUGUACAAAGCCACUGAUGAACUACAGCGACUAACAACUACCUCAUUUGUUGAUGAAUCAAGCGUGAUUGGUCGAGACGGCGAAAAGAGAAAUGUUGUAAGCAAGUUGCUGGCUGAAAGUAGUCAAGAAGCACGGGACGUGGAUGUCAUCUCUCUAGUAGGGCUGGGAGGAAUUGGAAAACUCGCCCAACUAGCUUUUAAUGAUGCUAAGGUUACGGAUCAUUUUGAGAAAAAGAUAUGGGUGUGUGUAUCAGAUCCAUUUGAUGAGGUUAGAAUAGCCAAAGCUAUCCUUGAGGAGCUUGAAGGGAGGGCAUCUGAUUUGGUAGGAUUGCAAUCCCUUUUGCGAAGGGUUUCUGAAUCCAUUAAGGGAAAGAGGUUCCUUCUUGUCCUUGAUGAUGUCUGGACAGAAAAUCAUGGACAAUGGGAACAACUGAAACCAUCUCUCACAGGCUGUGCACGAGGAAGCAGAAUUCUAGUGACCACUCGUAAGGACGCUGUGGCAACGAUGAUGGAAACUGACCACCGGAUCAACAUUGAGAAAUUGUCCGAUGAGAUAGGUGAGAAAGACAGAACUCUUUAGAACCUGCUUUGAGUGUAUUAAUUUAUUAUUAUUAUUUUUUUUGCUUUGAGAGUAUUAAUUAUUUGCUUUGGUGUUUGCUAAGGUUGAGUGUAAACAAUAUGGAAGCCUUACCAUUUACCUAUGUGACCUCUCUCAUCCUCUCAACAUAAAAUGAUAUGUAAUUCAUAUGUAUAAUUUCUCUCUCUCUCUCUCUUUUAAACCUCAGUUUCAGAUAAAUGAGAGAAUGGUAGACUUGGAAGCUAAACCUUUCAUCUAUAAGUGAUAUACCCAUCGAUUUUGGAGACUAAAUCCAAAUAAAGUUAUCCAAACCUAACACAAAAAAUCUUCAACAAUAAUUAAAUUACAAAUCAACAACAAAAUUCAGCAGCAAGGCCUAAUUAAAUGUUUACUCAUUUUUAUUUUUUUUAUAAAAAUAUGGUGAUCAAAUGCAGGUCAAAUAUUUUUAUUUUUUAAUAAAAAUUUAGUUCUUUAAAUAUAUUUUUCUAGUUCAAAAAAUAUAAUAAAUUAAAAAUUUUAUAUACAUCUAAUCAAAUAAAUUAAAAAAUAUUUAUGUUAAUAAAUAAAUAAAAAUUUGUUAAUAAUACUUAAAAACAAAACUGGUUCAAGCCUUCAUUGAGCUCAAUGUAAAGAGGACCAACCUGCCGUCAUAAAAGCCCAAAAUACUCCAUUAUAAAAGCCCAAGUAAAUAUCCCUGUCUUUCUCUCCCACACACUCGCAUUCUCAGUUUUUCCUCUCUGCGUCUUCAAGCAAUAAACCAUGGGUGAUAGCCAGUACUCCUUUUCUCUCACUACUUUCAGUCCUACCGGAAAGCUAGUACAGAUUGAGCACGCAUUGACUGCCGUUGGAUCAGGCCAAACUUCUCUCGGAAUCAAAGGUUGUUGCAAUUUAAGCUCUCUCUCUCUCUCUCUUUUCUCUCAUUUUCUUGUCAUUUUCGAAUGUACUAUGUUGUUGAUGGGUGCUUAGAUACUAUGUUGUUGAAUUUUUUUUUUUUGGUGUUGUAGCGGCAAACGGUGUUGUUAUUGCAACUGAGAAGAAAUUGCCAUCUAUUUUAAUCGAUGAAUCUUCUGUAAGUAAACUUUUUUUUUUUUUUUCGGUUUUGUUAUAUUCUUUGGUUGAAAUUCAAGAAACCCUUUUGUUUUUUUGCGUUUUUUAUUGUGUUUUCUUUGUGAACUUUUCGGGCUGGCCCUGCGAUCUUUUAGUAAUAACCUAAGUAUAGAGACAUGGGCUUGUAGCACUCUAAUUGAAGAAGCUGAUGAUUCUUGUGGAAAAGCAACGUGGAUUCUAGUCAAUGAGGUGUUGGUCUAGUAGUUAACAGGUUUAUAUUGAGAUUCUUAGGAGUCAUUUGAGUUUAGUGACAUCGGCUGGUAGAAAUCUGUUAAAAUUCGGUGUAAAUUUGUAAUUUUUAUUAGUAAUUUGAGCUUAGUGAUUUGGGCUCUUGCCAAUGAGGCGUUACUAUACUAGUUAAUGACUCUAAGAUUGAGACUUUGGAUGUUGGAGUCUCUAGAUUUAUAUCCUCAUUAAUCCCACAUUGUAUAAAAAGGUGUUGUUGAUUAUUUUAAAUCGUCUUGAAUGAGGUGGAGAUGGUUUGAUUUUGGAGCCAGUCGAUUGGUCUAUUAUUCUAAUUUGCAAGAUGGCAUGGAUUUUGGAUUAAAUCCAAAUAAAGUUAUCUAAACCUAACACAAAAAAUCUUUAACAAUGAAUGUCAUAACUCAAUUCUGGGUUAUUCUUCAAAAUCUAUUUUUUUAAAAUAAUAAUAAAAGCUGGCAACGUGGAGAAAGUAGGCGGGAAAUCAAGUUGCAAUUUUUGGAGGAAAUUCAAGACCUAAUUGUACUCCAUUAUGUCCAAAAAUGGAGAAAAAAAUGCAAAUUCAAGGUCAAAUUCAAUGAUUAUUGGACGAAUUUGCGUAAAAAUUAAGUCCAAUAACAUAAUUAAAUUUUUAAUAGGCCAAUUUGAUUUAAUCAUGGACCAAAUUAAAUUUUAAUUAUGUUUAAGAAUUAAUUUCGGUCCAAUUAAAGGAUUUAAUUAAGUGCAAGGACUUAAUUAUACUUUAAAUGGGUCAAAUUAAUUUUAUUUGGAGCCUAAUUGGUGAAAAAUUAAGUUUGAGAGCCUAAUUUGAGCAUAAUUGAGAAGAUUGGAAUUUUAAGAGACUAAAUUUAAUUUUUACCAAGUUAAUUGAUUGAAAUUAGGGGUCAAAUUGCAAGAAAAUUGAAGUUUUGGGGUCAAUUAGGGGUUAAAUUGACAAAAUUCACAACCAAGGAUCAAUCUGCAAAAGGCGCCAAACUAUAGGGGUUUAAUUGACAAAAUUCAGGGGUCAAAUUGAAGAAAUUGAAAGUUUAAUGGUCAAUUAGGGAUGAAAUUGCAUAAAUUCGAGACCAAUGACUAUACUGCAAAAGGCGCGUAAAUACAGGGCUAAAGUUGAAGUUCUGCAGGGGUCUUAUUCCAUUAAAUCAAAGGUUUAGGGUCAAUUAGGGGUUCAAUUGAACCAAAUUGAAAGCUAGAGGACUACAUUGAACUUCGGCAAAAUCCCUAAUUUUAACCCAAAAUGAUGUUGUUUUUGCGUUAAAAAAAAAAAGAAAGAUACCAGGCGACACGUUGCCUGGUCACUGUUCAUCUUCCCCGUGAACGCUGCCCGGGUAGCAGUUUUGCAGGUGCAUUUAAUGCCUCGCAUGUCCCCCAAAAUUGACAACACGUGCACCAAAAUAGUCACCUGAAAUCCCUCUAUCCCCGAGUAUUAUCUGGUCAGGCCUAUUAACAUGAAAACUGCUCCAGUGACCGGCCUGAAGUAGCCAACUCGGGCAGUUUUGGACUGUCAAAUUUGGCAGAUCGAGGUGCACACUUUGAACCAACGGUUGGAAUGCUUACCAACCAAACCAAAGGCCACGAUUUGACACCAUUAAAGAAAAAAUGUUCCUCUUCCAUCUCCUACAAAUAGGGCUGCAUUUCAUGGCCUGGAGGAGGAAGAAAUCGAGUCCAAAAUUGACAAAAAACCAGCCGCACCCUUCUGUUUUUCUCCUUUUCUUUUCUGCAACGAGUACUCUUUCUCUUUUCUCCUUCUCAGCCGUGCAUUCAGCCACCACCACUACCACCGCUAGCUUGACAACCAUCCUCUCCAGCACACUUCUCCCUCUCCAUUGAUUUCUUCUCCCUUUUCCUCCAUAGCGACAGCAGCUCAUCAGCACCACCAUUUUCUUUUUCUUCCUUCUCCAGCACCGGCAACAGCAACAUCAGCACCGACCUCCAUCCCCACAACCAGCUUUACCACCAUCAUUUCCAUCAACCCAGCUCUUCACCAGUGGCGGAGCAGCCACCGUGACCUUCUCUCUCUUCUCCUUCCAGCUUUUCUCUCUCCUCUGCAACUUUUUCUUCUUCCUCGCACAGUCGAAUCUGGCCACCAUCACCUCAGCCGACGCCCCCUGAGCCACCGGCUAAACCACCUCAUCACGACCGAGACCCCCACGCCAGGCAACUUCCUCCUCCCUGCUUUGCCUCUUUCUUCCUCGUCGUGGCUGCUGCAUGCAGAAUUUAUUUCUACAUGGAGUAAGCUAAUUAAUUAGCCCCUGGUUUGGGUCGGGCCAGUUAUAGCCCUGCCCAAGUGGUUGGGUCUUGCCUGGCCCCCAUUUAAAAAAAAAUCAAAAAAAGUUUUCAAAAAUCAUUUUAAAAAAAAUUUGGGAUUUUUCUCGCAUAUUUUUCUACCAAUUUUGCAUAAUAUCGGGUUGUAUAUUUACACUGUAAAAUACAAAUCUAGUAUUAAAAUACCCGGUUUUCUCCAAAAUAUUUCAAAAAAAAAAUCAAAACAUUUUCAAAAAGAAAAAAAUAUUUCGUUGCAUAUGGCCAAAUUCUAAAAAAAUUUCAAGCAUAUUUUCAUAAAAAAAAUUGCAUCUCUCUCAUGUUUUGAAAAUAAAAAAUGGAUAUCAUAAACAGUUUAUGAUCAUCCAUUAGUAUUUGGCCAACAUGUCAAAAAUCUUUUUCAAAUCUUUUUUUUAUGAUCUAGAUGUAGACUUUAAUAUUUGUGGGGUGUAAAAUUACAUGAUAAAGUACACCCUUAUGUAUUAAAGAUACAAGGUGUAAAUAAAUGCGAUGCCAAAAUUCAGACUUUAGAAUAGUUAGAAUUUAACCCGAUAAGGUAGAAACUCUCUCAUGAAGAGAGAUCUGCCUUGAGCCUUAGAAAAGACUAACGAAUAAAAACCCAACUUAGAAAAAAAACAAUCAAACAAACAAUGCAGCUUACCUGAGGUAGGGUGCAUUGGGGGUGAUGCGUCUUUCCCUUGCAUAACCAGUCCCUUACUCAUACUCUCGCAGACCAUAGAUUCCUAGUGACCAUAAUACUAGGUGGCGACUCCUAAACAUUAAUCAUAAUUCUAUAAUUAAAUCCAAAAACCCUUUCCAACACACAACACCUCACAUAGGAGGCACGGCAAAGAGCCUCCGCCGUCGCGGCGCUCACGCCCCCGCGACAAUGAAUAUGAUUUCUGCUAAUGAAAGGCAAGCCCCCUAGUGCCUGUGCUUUCUAAAUGCCAUCACAGCCCCAUUCAAGGAACUUCCAGACAGAGGAUUCUUCAGACCAAUAGCAUUAAUAAUGGAAGACAAUAUAGAUUCAAACUAUGAUAUCAGAAUCAAUAUAGAUACCACCAUAUUUGCUUAACCCAACAUACAAAGGACAAAUUGCAGAAACAAUGAUUCUAAACAUAAUAGAACCAGCACAUGGAAUAUAAAACAAAAGUUCAUCUCAACUCUAGUGAAGAUAUUCUAGGGGAGUUUUUCGAUCUAUUUUUGAGGGGUUUGUUGGGUAUUUUGAUUCAUUAGCAGCCUUCCAAGUCUUUGUGAUAUUAAUCCGUAAAGACAUGUAAAAAUACCUAGUUACCAUGAUGAGUUUCUCAAAUUUUUUUCAUAUGAAAAGAGAGGUUGAAACCCCGGACCAGUGACCUCCUAGGAAUCAUUAUGCACCCCAACCCACAUGGAAGUGUGAGAUCAACCUCUUAGGAAUCAUUGUGCACCCCAACUCAUAUGCAAGUGUGUAAUUGUUGGUGGACCUCGAGUUGCAGGCUCUCCCUUGUGGUUUUGUUUUUUAGAGUGGCUUACUGCUCACCCAUGGGUGGUGUCAAGGAGAUAUUAACUAACACAUGGUUUCCAAUUCAAGAGCCAUCAUCAAAAUCACAAGAUUCUGAUUGCCAAAUUCUCAACCAAAUAAAAGUUUGAUUAAAUUGAAUUGAAUAGCACCAAAUAUUCAAUGGAUCAACAAAAAUAAAAGGUAAUGUUUAUAAAACCAAUUUUAAUAUAGCUCAAAAUUAAGCGGAUCUUUUCGGUAAUUAAGGUAAGAACUUCAACAAAAAAAAAUAAAGAAAAGAAUUAAUAUGGCCUGACAUGGUUAAAAUAUCCCGGUAAACUCAAGUAAAAUUUGGUUAAAUAUUGUUGAUUUUUUUUGGAAAAAACAAUUUUAGUCAAAACAAUAUUAUUUUAAUUCAGAUUUGACAACUCAGGAUGCCUACUUUGAGGCAAUGGUUGGGAUCCUUACCAACUGAAUCAAGGGCUGAAAUUUUUUCCUGGUAUAAACAAGAUUGCUCUCUUCCACCUCCUAUAAAUAGAGGUGGAUUUCCUGGCCUGGGGGAGGAGAAAAUUAGGACCAAAGUCGGCAAAAAACCAGCCCCUCUGCCCUUGUUUCUGCAGUUUUUCUCUCCCUCUCUCCCCCCACCGUUCGAGCCACCACCUGCUCCACCACAGGUAGCUAGCCCAACCACAAGCUGAUCACCCCCAUUCCUGAAACAGUCACCGUUUCUUCCUCUCUCUCACCUCUGCAAAAUCCUUCUUCCUUCCCCCGUGAUCGACUCCGGCCACCAUUCCUCCCAGCGACGCCACCAAAACCAUCAACACAACCUCCUGAUCACGGCCGAGACUCCUGCUUCGAGUGAGCCGCUCCUCCGUCAACCUUCAUUUUCUGCAACCAUUUCAGUUGCAUGCAGAACGUGAACCACUGUUCACGUUCUGCAAAUAAUUAACAUUAACUUUGGGUCGGGCCAGUUAUGGCCUAGCCUAAUUGGUCGGGUCUGCCCUGGCCCAAAAAAAAGAGAGAAAAUGUGUUGGGCCAAGAUCGGCCCAUUGUUUUCUGGGUUUGUGCCUGACCCACUUAUCUGGGCCGACCCGACCCACAUGUUUUAAUAAUAUUUAAUUAAUAUAUAAUAUUAUAUUAUAUAUUUCUUUUAAAAAAAUAAAAAAAUAAAAAAUCCUUUGAAAAAAAUUGUGAUUUUUUCACAUUUUUUUCUAUCAAUUUUGCAUAAUAUUGGGUUGUAUAUUUACACUUUAAAAUACAAAUCCGAUAUUAAAAUACCUGGUUUUCUCUGAAUUUUUUUUAAAAAAAAUUUCAAAACAUUUUCAAAAAGAAAAAAAAAUUUUUGUUGCAUAUGGACAAAUUCUAAAAAAUUUCCAAGGAUAUUUUCAUUAAAAAAAAUUGCAUCUUUCUCAUGUUUUGAAAACCCAAAAAAAUAGAUAUCAUAACCGGUUUAUGAUUAUCUAUUAGGGUUCGACCAAAAUAUCAAGAACUUUUUUUCAAUUUUUUUUUAGGAUCCAGACGUAAACUUUAAUAUUUGUGGGGUGUAAAAUUACAUGAUAAAGUAUACCCUCGGGUAUUAAAAAUACAAGGUGUAAAUAAAUACGAUGCUAAAAUUUAGACUUUAGAACAGUUAGGAUUUAACCCAAUAAGGUAGAGACUUUUUCAUGAAGAGAGAUCUACCUUAAACCUUAGAAAAGACCAACGAAUAGAAACCAGACUUAGAAAAAAAAAUUAAACAACAACGUAGCUUACCUUAGGUAGGGUACAUUGGAGGUGAUGCGUCUUCCUCUUGCAUAACCAAUUCUUUACCCAGACUCUCGCAAACCAUAGGUUCCUAGUGACCAUAACACUAGGUGGCGACUCCUAAACAUUAAUCGUAAUUUCAUGAUUAAAUCCAAAAACCCUUCCCAACACACCACACCUCACACAAGAGGCACGACAAUAGCCUCUACCGUCGCCAGACGACGUCGCAUUGGCGCUCGACCCCCUUGACAACACUAUUAAAAAACAAAAAACAAUAUGUAAUGGCUCUUCAAAAUAUAUUUAAAAACACUUUUUACUGUCACUAAAUUUUUUUGAUCCGUAACAAAAUUAUCAGAAAUGGUCACUACAUAUAGUGUCAUAAUUAAGUUGAUGCAGUGACACCAAACCCUCUAUAAAAGAGAUUAAAGAUCCAAUUUAAUAAUUUGAUGAAAUUGAAAAUUAAAGAUCCAAUUUAAUAAUUUGAUGAAAUUGAAAAUUAAAGAUCCAAUUUAAUAAUUUGAAGGAAUUUGAUAUGAUUUAUUACUUUCAAAUUAUAUGUAAUCUUUUUUGUUAUGAAAAAAGGGGUUUGAAUUCAAGAUUUUCUUGGAAGAAAAAUACUAAAAUCAUUCAAGUUACAACUCAUUGAAGAUAGUUCAAUGCAGAUGAUAAAACUUGAAUAUCAAAUCCUGGAAACUACAAUAUGCUUAGCCUUCAGCUAGUUAAAAAAACGAAUAUCAAAUCCUGGAAACUACAGUUGAUAAAUAAACCUGGUCCUCGGAACCUGCUUUCAAGUCUCGUUAAUAUCACAUUGCUUAGCAAAAACCCUAAUUCCCGCAAGAACCCUGCUUUCAAGUUUUUCAAUUGCAUGAGUUGCUUUUACUUCCCCUGUCAUUCCAAUUUUCUUUGAUUCUCAUUUCAUCCUUUUAUGGUCAUCAAAUCUUUCUCAUUACUUCAGGUAUAUACGUACAUCACAUCAAUUUCAUUUUUCAACCUACAAGUCGUGCUCUUCCUUCACCACAGCCCUACAAAAACUAAUAAAAAAAUGUUGAGACACUAAAAUACAAGCUUCACUAGUAAAAAAAACUACAAGUUGCAAGAACUCCACCUGCAACACCAAACCCUAAGUAAAUAAACUAACUUCCAUUCACAAUCAGCCGCCUCCUUCCCUUCACCGUCUCUUUCUCUCUGCUCAUCCCAUCAUCAUUGCCUCUCUCUCUCUCUCUCUCUCUCUCUCUCCAAUCAGAACUAAACAGACGAUGGCUGAGGCACUUGUAUCUCCGAUCUUGGAGCAGUUAACCACGAUCGUUGUUCAACAGGUAUUUUUCUACCAUCUGCAAUAACCUGAUUUACCUAGCAGGGAUAAGAAAUAUAAAGGUCAAGCCUUUUUUCUUCCUAUCAUAAAAAGAAUACUUUUAACUUGAAUAAAUGAAAAUGGUAUAUGUUUGGAUUUUAUUAAAGAAUCUUCUUUUUGUUGUUUUAUUAUUUUUCAUAAUUCCAAAAAUAACCUAAAGAAAAUAUAUCAUUCCAAAUAUAGGAAAACCGAAAAAGGCAAAACAAGAGUUGCCAAUUCUCUUUAAACUGAACUAUUAAGGGUAAAAUAAUCAAUAAAAAGUUCAGAGGAUUAGCGAGCGAGUGUAUAUAUAUAUAUAUAUAUAUAUAUAUAUAUAUAUAUAUAUAUAAGGUAAAAUAUAUCUAUAGUUUAAUGUAAAAUAAAAACCAGAUUUUAUGUCGGUUCAAAGGAGAAAUCCUUCUCUCGUGAGAACAUUAAACUCUUUCCAUGCCUAUAUUAAUUAUAUAUAUAUACGUACAAGUUUAACGUUGUACCAUUUAAGAUUCAUUUUAUACCUUCUUAUACAGUAGCAUAGUGCAGACUGAUAUCAUCAUAAUGAUGAUAAAAAGAAAAAAGAAAUAUUAUUAUUUCUAAUAAAUAUUUUACAUAUAAAUUAUUAAUAUAGUAAAUCCAUUUCACAAUAAAAUAUAUUAAUACAAAAUAGAAAUGUUUCCUGUGCUUGAACUUCCUUGUCUUUUCUACACUAAUAGGUACAGGAAGAGGUGAACCUAGUAGGGGGUGUGAAAUUGUCUUGAAAUCACAGAAAUGUUUCCUAUGCUUAACGUUUCUUUUCCUUUGUACACUAAUAGGUACAAGAAGAGGUGAACCUCGUAGUGGGUGUGAAGAAACAAGUCGACAAGCUGAAAAGACAUCUCCUUGCUAUCCAAUCUCGCAUUGAAGAUGCAGAUAGAAAACAAGUGAAAGAUGAGGCUGUAAAGGAUUGGCUAGACAAGCUCAAAGAUGUAUGUUAUGAUAUCGAUGACGUGCUAGAUGAAUGGAGCACUGCAAUUCUUAGAUGGAAAAUGGAGGAAGCUGAAGAAAAUACUCGCAGCCGACAGAAGAUGCGAUGUUCCUUCCUGAGAUCUCCUUGCUUUGGUCUCAAUCAAGUGGGUCAACGUCGGGACAUUGCCCUUAAGAUCAAAGAAGUAUGUGAAAAAAUGGAUGACAUUGCCAAAGAGAAAGCUAUGGAUGGCUUUGUUCCGUACAGAGCCACCGAUGAACUACAACGACUAAUAAGUACCUCCUUUGUUGAUGAAUCAAGCGUGAUUGGUCGAGAUGUUGAAAAGAAAACUGUUGUAAGCAAGUUGGUGGGUGAAAGUAGUCAGGAAGCACGGGACGUUGAUGUCAUCUCUCUAGUAGGGCUGGGUGGAAUGGGAAAAACAACUCUCGCCCAACUAGCUUUUAAUGAUGCUGAGGUUACGGCUCAUUUUGAGAAAAAGAUAUGGGUGUGUGUUUCAGAACCGUUUGAUGAGGUUAGAAUAGCAAAAGCAAUCAUUGAGCAGCUUGAAGGGAGUCCAACGAAUUUGGUUGAAUUGCAAUCCCUUUUGCAAAGGGUUUCUGAAUCCAUUACUGGAAAGAGGUUCCUUCUUGUCCUGGAUGAUGUCUGGACAGAAAAUCAUAGACAAUGGGAACCACUGAAACUCUCUCUCAAAGGCGGUGCACGAGGAAGCAGAAUUCUAGUGACCACUCGUAAGGACGCUGUGGCAACGAAAUUGGGAACUGACCACCGGAUCAACAUUGAGAAAUUGUCCGAUGAGAUAUGCAGGUCAAUAUUCAAUCAUGUGGCAUUCCAGGAAAGAAGCAAAGAUGAGCGCGAAAGAUUGACAGAUAUCGGCGAUAAAAUUGCAAACAAGUGCAAGGGCUUGCCUCUAGCUGCCAAGGUAUUAGGAGGUCUAAUGCAGUUUAAAAGAACAAGAGAAGAGUGGGAACGUGUUUUAUCUAGCGAACUGUGGAGGCCAGAUGAGGUUGAUAGAGACCAGGUUGAAAGACAAAUAUUUAUACCGUUGCUUUUGAGUUACUACGAUUUACCUUCUGUGGGAAGACGAUGUUUCUUGUAUUGUGCCAUGUUUCCAAAAGACUACGAGAUGGACAAAGAUGAAUUGGUGAAGAUGUGGAUGGCUCAAGGUUACCUCAAGGAGACUUCAGGUGGAGAUAUGGAGCUUGUAGGAGAGCAGUACUUUCAAGUCUUAGCAGCGCGCUCUUUCUUCCAAGAUUUUAAGACGUAUGGUCGAGAAGGUAUUGCAUUCAAGAUGCAUGAUAUAGUGCAUGAUUUUGCCCAAUAUAUGACAAAAAAUGAAUGUCUAACAGUGGACGUCAAUAACCUUGGAGAAGCAACAGUGGAGACUUCAAUUGAAAGGGUUCGUCAUUUAAGCAUGAUGCUGUCAGAGGAGACUUAUUUUCCCGAGUUCAUUCAGAAAGCAAAAGGUCUUCGCAGCCUCUUGAUCAACACUAGAGACCCUUCACUUGGAGCUGCACUUCCUGAUCUAUUCAAGCAGUUGACAUGCAUCAGGUCAUUGAAUUUGUCAGAGUCUUCAAUCAGAGAAUUGUCAGAGUCUUCAAUCAAAGAAAUACCAAACGAGGUAGGGAAAUUGAUACAUUUGAGACACGUCAAUUUUGCAUAUUGUUAUCAGUUGGAGUCCCUGCCAGAAACCAUGUGUGAUUUAUGCAAUCUGCAAUCCCUAGACGUUACUUGGUGUGGUUCUCUCAAGGAAUUGCCUAAGGCGAUUGGAAAACUUAUCAAAUUGAGGCAUCUCCAGAUUGAUGGUUCAGGUGUGGCCUUCAUACCAAAGGGAAUAGAGAGGAUAACAUGUCUUCGAACAUUAGAUGUGUUUAAAGUUUGUGGCGGUGGUGAGAAUGAAAGUAAAGCAGCUAAUCUAAGAGAAUUAAAAAACUUAAAUCACAUUGGAGGGAGUCUUAACAUACGGAAUCUAGGAGGAGGUAUAGAAGAUGCGAGUGACGCUGCAGAAGCACAACUCAAGAAUAAGAAGCGCCUGCGUCGUUUGGAAUUGGUUUUCGACAGAGAGAAAACAGAGUUGCAAGCGAAUGAAGGCUCUUUAAUUGAAGCUUUACAGCCUCCGUCAGACUUGGAAUAUCUGACCAUAUCUAGUUACGGAGGGUUUGAUUUGCCAAAUUGGAUGAUGACAUUGACCAGAUUACUGGCUCUUGAACUGCAUGAUUGUACAAAGCUGGAGGUCUUGCCUCCGUUGGGAAGAUUGCCCAACCUUGAAAGCCUGGCAUUCUGGUCGUUGAAGGUGAGAAGGCUGGAUGCUGGAUUUUUAGGUAUAGAAAAAGAUGAGAAUGCCAGUAUUAAGGAAGGAGAAAUUGCAAGGGUCACUGCUUUUCCCAAAUUAAAAACACUUGAGAUUUGGCAUCUCGAAGAAGUAGAAGAGUGGGAUGGAAUUGAAAGGAGAUCAGUGGGAGAAGAAGAUGCCACCACAACUUCAAUAAUAUCCAUGAUGCCACAACUUCGAUGGUUGAGAAUUAUCAAUUGCCCGUUGCUGAGAGCACUACCAGACUAUGUUUUGGCAGCGCCUCUACAGGAAUUAGACAUAAGGUGGUGCACCAUUCUAAGGAAACGUUACGGGAAGGAGGAGAUGGGUGAAGAUUGGCAAAAGAUUUCUCACUUCCCAAACAUUUAUUUUGAAUAAUAUGUAAGCCUUACCAUUUACUCUAUGUGACCUCUUUACUGUAAAAUCCAAGACCUAUCACUGAUCAUGGCAAGACUCACUCCUCUAUUUCCAGAUCCAAAAAUGUCAAGAUAUUUUUAAUUCUUUAAUUCUAUGAAUAAAAACAUAGAUAUUGAAUUUUUUUUUUAAUCUUUCAUAAAUUGAAUUCAAUUUUCGAAAACUUUCUACAAAUCUAAAUAUGGAUAUUGAAAACGACAUCAAAAUAGGAACUUUCAUAGGUUUCCACACACUCCCAUAUGCCUUGAGCUUAAGCGCAGGUGGACAUCUUUUUUUUCUUUUUCUUUUUUUCCAAGACAAAUGCUGCAACCUAUUAAUCAUCCAUGAGCCAUGUGUGCAUACCGCACGCCUCCUUACAGGGCAUCUUCACUGCCGGACUGGUGGGAUUCAUAUAGACUUCAUAUGUGCUACUUUGAGGCUCCAUAUCUCCGUUUCUAGUGUUCUUGAACUCGUCAGAGAGCUUACACUGCAUGCUAUCUAUAACAACAGAUAUCAAGCACAGACAAUAAAGCAUAAGAAAAUUACAAGACAGAAAAACCAAUUCAUCGUAAUUCAAACGCUGAAAUCUCUCAGCAUACAAGUCCAAUUUACACGCCAUUUCCCAGAUUUAGUGCUCGUGGCAGAUGCACAUGAGGUAAUCAUUUCAUGCUAUUUGAUGCUUUCUAAAGUUACCAUAUAUGUCCAUAAUACGAGUUUGAAACAGAAACUGAUGCAAACAGCCAUAUUAAUCAUCCAUGAGCCAAAAAUUAAGAACUGCAAGAGUAAAAUGAACUGACUUCUUACUGCAAAAUGUGAACAGGCAAACGGUGGAUUUGGAAAUCAAGGGGGCAAGAAAAACCUUGUAAUUCAAAUAGGUGCACAGGCUAGGUGUGACAACCCUUUUAAUUCAUGAUCAGUGUAAAAUAUCUAUGGUUGUGGUAAUGCUAAUUAGAGUUGUUGAAUUAUAUUGCAAUGCAAUUCCAUGAUGUAAAAGUAUUUUUCAACUUGGAUUAAACUCACUUAAUUAGUUUAUUAAUUUGUACAAAAAUAGUUUUAUUUCAUAAAAUCUCAUAAAAUAGAAAUUACAAAUAGUAAUUCAACUCAUAAUUUCAUGCUCUCUCUUAUAUAAAAUUUUAAUUUGAACUAAACUAUUCUUUAUAGAAUGAAGUAUUAUUGCUUUCCAUCUAGAAAUGAAACACAAUAAAUUAUUUCAUAAAACAAUACAUGCAAAAUAAUUCAAUACUACUUAUAAAAGAAAAACCAUUUUAAAGUAUUAAGUCAAAAAUUCAGGAUGUUUUAAAGUAAUCCCUAGUAAUUUUGAUUUUCUCAUAAAUCUAAUUUUAUUGAGUGAAUGAAAGAUUUCAAAUAUAUAGUACGUAGUAUAUAAAUAAUUUUCUGAACCAAAGAAAGAUUUCAAAUAUAUAGUACGUAGUAUAUAAAUAAUUUUCUGAACCAAAGAAAAAACAGAAUUUUAGGAGUGAUUUAAAAUCAUGAACUAGAAUUUAAGUAUUCAAGUUGAGCAUAUUAAAUUUGAAUUCCCAGUCGUUCAAGUGCAUGGGACACAAAUCCUUCUUCAAGAAUCGUUGUGUUUUCUUCCCCUCGGAACCCAUUAAAACAUGGAGCCCAAAAGUAUUUAGAUUGCCCAAUUCACCAAGUCAUAAUGAGAGAACCCAAGCCCAAGCAGAGUACUCUGGGCUAAUUCAUUUUAUUUAGUACUAUGAUUAUUAUAUGCACUCCAUUAAUUAUUAGUUCCACUUCAUUUUGUAGCCACGAUGAUCAAUUAUGCAUAUGACCUCACCUCAACACUAGUUUUGUACCCGCACUCUGCAAUGAGGUGCAUAUAGUGUUUUUUCAGAGCAUCAAAGCAUUGACUAAGAAAGACUGACUGAAUUGAAACAGAACGCAACGAGACUUUUGGGUUUGAAACUAAUCCAGUGAAGACAGCAAAUAACCUUCUUCUUUUUUUUUUGUAAGGGAAGGCAAAUAGAAUGAGUUUAAAGCAUAAUGACUUAAUUGCAAAAUGCAUAUGAAUGCAGUUUUUUGACAAGGGAGUUUGGUGUUCCUGAAGCAGCAACAAUGGCUGCUAAGCUACGCAUAAUUUGUUGUCUUGUUCCCAACAAUGCCAUUCUGAUCCCAAACGCUGCUGAGUCUAGCAUGCUGAUUUCCUCACUAAUUUCGAUCUGAAUUUCAAUUUCCAGAUUUCAUAACCUUAGCCCUUAUUUUAGUAACCAAACAACUCUCUUCCUAUGUUCCUGCAUCUGCAUGUCGACUCUUCACUCUCUGAUUCCUGAAUCUUGAAAAGACUCUUCCUUUGUUUUUCUAGUUGUCUUGCGUUAUGUUUCUAGCUAAAAGAAGAAAUAAGUGACUUAAAUUAUGAAAAAGUAGAAAAAGACAAUGAAAGAAGUGCCUUAAAUCACGUUAAGUUAAGAAAGGAAUGAAAAGAAAAAAAGAAGAAAGGAAGGUGAUGUAGUCCAUACAAAAUGAAUCCUUUCCUCCAGAAAAUCUUGCUCAUUUCUUGUCCUUUUCACACCCAUUUGCUCCCCUUCACAAACAAACCUCCCCAUUUAAAGGAGCUCCAAUCACGCAAACCAGCAAUCCUUCCCAACUUUUUUCCAUGACCACAGCACGCUACUGAUAUCCACACAGCCCCAGCUUCAGACAGCUUCCAUCACGCAGACCCUUUCCUGUUAACACAACCGCAGAGCCUGUAGCUGCCGCCAACAAAACCCCAGCAUCCUCUCCAUGAAUAAACCAAAACACAUCCCUGCUCAUCCACUGAUAACUCCUUAAACUACCCAGAUACAUGACUUCCAAAAGGUAUAUGAUUUUUAAAGUUAAAUGUAACCUCUAAAAGUAUGGAGAGUUGGGGACUUGAAUUAUUCUUUGCACGGUGACAAAUGAAUUCUAGAAUUUAGAUUUUUAUUUCCCAUCUAAAUAUUAAAAUAUUUGACAUUAAAGAUAUUUUAAUAUAUUUUUAAACAAAAAAAUAUAUAUAAAAAAUACUUUACAGCAUAAUUUCAAGCACCAUCAACAAAUCCAAUCAUACAACCUCAACAAAUCUGGACCAUCCAUUUUCAGACCCAAAAUCAAAGAUCAAUAUCAAACCCCAGUCCCUGCUAUGAAAACAGGAUAAAAUCACCAGAUCUCAAAAACCCAGAUAGAUAGAUGCUUGUUUAUAUUUCCAUUACACAAGAACUAAUUGGUUACUAAUUUUGGUUUGUUUAAAUUAGUUUGAAUGGCCAGAUAUAUAUUACAUAAAAUGAAGAGAAGAAAUAGAGAAGCAGGAAUUUCAGUAGAAUGCUAUAAUCAGAUGUCCAUAUCAGAUACAUUCUUAACCUACGGUCAGUAUCAAUAAAAAAUAAUUGCUAUAUAUCGAAGAAGAAAUUACUUUCCACAAAUAAUAAUCCUUAGCCUAGAACUCGGUAGAAUUGAAAAGCACGAGUGUUUCACCUUUGGAACUCAAAAUGGCAUGUCAUUCUCAGUAGAAACAUACAACCAGGACUAGACUGAAAAGCUACAAUAAUAUAGGGACUGAAUUGAAGUGUUAGAAACAGUACAGGGACUGAAACAAAACUCAACCCCCAUCACCAAACCCUAAGUACAUAAACUAACUAAACCAGCAGCCUCCUUCCACUCACACUCUCUUCUCUCUCUUUCUCAGUUCAUCCUAACAUCAUUGUCUAUUUUUUAAAAAUAAUUAAAUUAAACAGACAAAUGGCAGAGGCACUUUUAUCGCCAAUUUUGGAGCAGCUAACCACGGUCGUUGCUCGACAGGUAAUUACUUUUAUACAAUUUGCAAUGAUCUAAUUAACCCUUACAUUAAUAAGAAAUAUAAAAAUGAUCUCUUUUUCUUUCUUUAUAAGAAAAACAAAAUAAAAUAUCAAAUCCUCAGAUCUAGAUUUGGAUUUUAUUAAAGAAAUUUCUAUUUAUUGUUUUAUUAUUUUUCAUAUUUCUGGAAAUAAUCUAAAACAAAUAUUCUUAGAAGGAAAAUGGAGUUGUCGAUCCUCUCAUAAAACUGAACUACUAAGGGUAAAAUAAUCAAUCAGAUGUUAAAAUAAUAAGUUUCAUAAUCUUAUUAUAAUACCAACAAAUAUUUAUUUCCAAAUAGAUUUUACGAAUACCAACAAAUACAGAUCCUUUUAUUCUCAAUAUUUCUUUGAUCCACCAAGCUUAUGUUAUAUAUAGGUUUGACGUUGAACAAUUUAAGAUUCAUUUUCUUCCUUCUUGUAUAGUAGCAGAGUGCAGACAGAGAUAUCAUCAUGAUGAUGAUAAAAAUAAAUAUUAUUAUUUUUAAUAUAUUGGUUUUUAAUAAAUAUUUUAUAUAUAAAUUAUUAAUAUAGCCAAUCCAUUUCACAGUACGUGUCAACUACUGCGAAAAAAAACAGAUUAAUAAAAAUUAUCUAAUCUAUUAAUUACCAAAAAUUAAAAUUAAAAACUUGCAGUGAAAUCAUGGAAAUGUUUCCUCUGCUUGAACUUCUUUAUCUUUUCCACACUAAUAGGUACGAGAAGAGGCCUAGUGGGGGAUGUGAAGAAACAAGUCGACAAGCUGAAAAGCAAUCUCCUUGCUAUCCAAUCUGUCCUUGAAGAUGCAGAUAGACAACAAGUGAAGGAUAAGGCUGUAAGAGAUUGGCUAAACAAGCUCAAAGAUGUAUGUUAUGAUUUGGAUGACGUGCUCGAUGAAUGGAGCACUGCAAUUCUUAGAUGGAAAAUGGAGGAAGCUGAAGAAAAUACUCGCAGCCGACAGAAGAUGCGAUGUUCCUUCCUGAAAUCUCCUUGCUUCUGUCUCAAUCAAGUGGUUCAACGUCGCGACAUUGCCCUCAAGAUCAAAGAAGUUAGUGAAAAAGUGAAUGACAUUGCCAAAGAGAGAGCAAUGUUUGGCUUUGAGUUGUACAGAGUCACUGAUGAACUCCAGCGACUAACAACUACCUCCUUUGUUGAUGAAUCAAGCGUGAUUGGUCGAGAUGGUGAAAAGAAAAAUGUUGUAAGCAAGUUGCUGGCUGAAAGUAGUCAAAAAGCACGGGACGUGGAUGUCAUCUCUCUAGUAGGGCUGGGCGGAAUUGGAAAAACAACUCUCGCCCAACUAGCUUUUAAUGAUUCUGAGGUUACGGCUCAUUUUGAGAAAAAGAUAUGGGUGUGUGUUUCAGAUCCAUUUGAUGAGGUUAAAAUAGCCAAAGCUAUCCUUGAGCAGCUUGAAGGGAGUGCACCGAAUUUGGUUGAAUUGCAAUCCCUUUUGCAAAGGGUUUCUGAAUCCAUUAAGGGAAAGAGGUUCCUUCUUGUCCUUGAUGAUGUAUGGACAGAAAAUCAUGGACAAUGGGAAAAACUGAAACCAUCUCUCACAGGCUGUGCACGAGGAAGCAGAAUUCUAGUGACCACUCGUAAGGACGCUGUGGCAACGAUGAUGGGAAGUACUGGCCACCGGAUCAACAUUAAGGAAUUGUCCGACGAGAUAUGCAGGUCAAUAUUCAAUCAUGUGGCAUUCCAGGAAAGAAGCAAAGAUGAGCGCGAAAGAUUGACAGAUAUCGGCGAGAAGAUUGCAAGCAAGUGCAAGGGCUUGCCUCUAGCUGCCAAGGUAUUAGGAGGUCUGAUGCAGUUUAAAAGAACAAGAGAAGAGUGGGAACGUGUUUUAUCUAGCGAACUGUGGGAGCUAGAACAUGUUGAAAGGAGACUAUUUCCACCUUUGCUUUUGAGUUACUACGAUUUACCUUAUGUGGAAAGACGAUGUUUCUUGUAUUGUGCCAUGUUUCCAAAAGACUACGACAUGCGCAAAGAUGAAUUGGUGAAGAUGUGGAUGGCUCAAGGUUACCUGAAGGAGACAUCAGGUAGAGAUAUGGAGGUUGUUGGAGAGGAGUACUUUCAAGUCUUGGUAGCACGCUCUUUCUUCCAAGAUUUUAAGAAGUAUGGUCUAGAAAAUAUCAGAUUCAAGAUGCAUGAUAUAGUGCAUGAUUUUGCCCAAUAUAUGACAAAAAAUGAAUGUCUAACAGUGGAUGUCAAUACACUUGGAGGAGCAACAGUGGAGACUUCAUUUGAAAGGGUUCGUCAUUUAAGCAUGAUGCUGUCAGAGGAGACAUCUUUUCCCGUGUCUAUUCACAAAGCCAAAGGUCUUCGCAGCCUCUUGAUCGACACUAGAGACCCUUCGCUUGGAGCUGCACUGCCUGAUUUGUUCAAGCAGUUGACAUGCAUCCGGUCAUUGGAUUUGUCAAAGUCUUCUAUCAAAGAAAUACCGAACGAGGUAGGGAAAUUGAUACAUUUGAGACACCUCAAUCUGGCAUCUUGUGGAGAGUUGGAGUCCCUGCCAGAAACCAUGUGUGAUUUAUGCAAUCUGCAAUCCCUAGACGUUACUUGGUGUGGUUCUCUCAAGAAAUUGCCUAAUGCGAUUGGAAAACUUAUCAAAUUGAGGCAUCUCCGGAUUAAUGGUUCAGGUGUGGACUUCAUACCAAAGGGAAUAGAGAGGAUAGCAUGUCUUCGAACAUUAAAUGUGUUUAUUGUGUGUGGUGGUGGUGAGAAUGAAAGUAAAGCAGCUAAUCUAAGAGAAUUAAAAAACUUAAAUCACAUUGGAGGGAGUCUUGGGAUACGGAAUCUACAAGAUGCGAGUGACGCUGCAGAAGCACAACUCAAGAAUAAGAAGCGCCUGCUUCGUUUGGAAUUGGAUUUCGACUACAACCAGGAGAGCGGCAUUUUAAUUGAAGCUUUACGGCCUCCGUCUGACUUGAAAUAUCUAACCAUAUCUAGGUACGGAGGGUUGGAAUUGCCAAGUUGGAUGAUGACAUUAACCAGAUUACAGGAGCUUAUACUGUCUGAUUGUACAAAGCUGGAGGUCAUGCGUCCGUUGGGAAGAUUGCCCAACCUUGAAAGCCUGGUAUUGAGGUCGUUGAAGGUGAGAAGGCUGGAUGGUGGAUUUUUAGGUAUAGAAAAAGAUGAGAAUGCCAGUAUUAAUGAAGGAGAAAUUGCAAGGGUCACUGCUUUCCCCAAAUUAAAAACACUUUGGAUUGGUAAUCUCGAAGAAGUAGAAGAGUGGGAUGGAAUUGAAAGGAGAGUGGGAGAAGAAGAUGUCAACACAACUUCAAUAAUAUCCAUUAUGCCACAACUUCGAUGGUUGACAAUUCUUAACUGCCCGUUGCUGAGAGCACUACCAGACUAUGUUUUGGCAGCGCCUCUACGGGUAUUAGACAUAUGGGGUUGCCCCAUUCUAAGGAAACGUUACGGGAAGGAGGAGAUGGGUGAAGAUUGGCAAAAGAUUUCUCACAUCCCAAACAUUUCUAUUUAUAGUUAAAGAAUAGUAAAGGCACGGAAGUCUGUAGGACCGGCAGGAAGAGGUAUGUUUCAUAUACCUCUUUACUGUAUAUUGUUGACUUUGGAUUGUAUUUCCUACUUACCAUUUAUUCCAUCAAAUGCAGCUGUGAUAUAUAUACCCAUCUCUCUCUCUCUCUCUCUCUCUCUCUCAACAUAUAUAAAAUAAUAUGUAAUUCAUAUGUUCAUAUUUAAAGAAUAGUUAGGACCGGCAGGAAGAGGUAAUUUUUUAUUUAAUUAUUGAAUUAGACUUAAAUUUUACAUGUUAAAAAAUUAAUCUAAGAUGAAAUUAUCUCGCUUAAAUUCUCCAAAUGCCACUCUAAAAAAAUUAUUCUACCAGUGUUAAUUCAACGGUAAAAGAUUUUACCAAAUCUAUUUUAACAAAUCUAUUUUGGGCUCCCCAUUUUUGUCAUUCAGAAAAUGGAAUAGUCAUUUUAACUUUGUUUUUGAUUCUUGACUUUGUUUUUGAUUUACUAAUUCUUCAUUUGUUAACCAAAUGAUUUAUUUUUAUUUUGUUCAGAGUGGCUUCCGAUUUGGUUCUGUGUUGUGAUUUACUUCUUUGAUUGUAUUAAUUAUUUAUUAUUAAAAUAAUAUUUUUUAUUUUUUAAAAAUUAUUUUUAACAUAACAUAUCAAAAUAAUUUGAAAACAUCAAAAAUAUAUUAAUUUAAAAUAAAAAAAUAAAAAAAUUUCAAAAAAUUUUUAAAAUGCUUGCUAGACUUUAAAGUUAAUCUAAAUAAAAUAAAAUAAAAUAAAAGUCAAGCCAUACAUACAAUGAUGCUUAUAUGUGUAUUUUUUUUUUUUAAUGAUCCCAAUACAUAUUUGAAGAAUAAAAAAAUUAGUUCAAAAUUAAAAAAAAAAUUAAAAUCUUUUAAAAAUACAACUAAACUAUGGCACCUAGCACCAGGUACCAUGGGCCAGCGCGCCCAUGGCCAGGCAAGGAGCUCCCCUGAAAAGCAACAUGUAGAAUUUAGGCGUAAUAGAGUGUCUGUAGACACUACUACUUAGGUACUAGCUAUCACGCACUUUAAUAAGUUCAAUUAUUAGUAUUUUUAGCUGAAAUAUUGCACAAAAGCUGGAAAAAGUCCAAUUAAGUGGCUGUUUGGUAUAAUUAUAAUAUAUUAUUUUAGUAUAUAUUAUUAAGACAGCUAUAUUUUAGUAUAUAUUAUUAUAGUAUAAUUAUAAUAUAUAAGUUAUAUUAUUAUAAUUAGCAUUAUAAUAUAUAAGUAUCUCACGACUUUUAGAGUAUUACUUAAUUAAUAUUGAAAAUUUAUAUUUUUAAGAAAUUCAACAUAAUAUACUCAAUGGCUAGAAGCUUGGUGGCCAAUUUCAGAUCAUGAGUUUUCGUUUAUUGUCGAGGAUGAUUUGGAGGUUUCGCCGCUGUUUUAUAAAUUUGCGAGGGGUUUGCUUGCUAUUACAAUGUGUCGAAUUUUAGUCCUUUUAUAUAUGAUAUGGUGCUUCACUUCAGCGUCCACGGUUUGUCCCAGGUACUGCUCUUUUUUCAGGUUUUGUAUUUGUUAGACUGGAUGUUUUCAUGUUCAGUGUUAAGGUUUACAGAUUUCUUGAUUUGUUAAUUAUAUUGGGUUUUGUGCGGAUGUAGUGUGCUUCUCAUGCUAAAACUUGCUUUACAAUUGCUAGGCUGAAAUCCUUUUAGUCUUUUGCUUGUGGCGUAAAUAUAUGUAUCAUGUCCAUAGGAUGCGAAAUCCUUUUAGUCUUUUGCUUGUGGCGUAAAUAUAUGUAUGGUGUCCAUAGGAUGCGAACUUGAAAAGUUUCCAUUUGGUAUUUCGCAAUUGCAUAAGCAUAUGUGAUUAUGACACGUACGUCAAAAACAAUAUGCAUUAAUUUUGUUGCUGGUAGAGAGUGCCAUAUGCAAUAUUUUCUGUCUCUUAUUGGAGCCUUUUUAUGAAAAUUGUGUUAAUUCAACAAUUCUCAUUACAUACCCCUGACCUGAUUUUUUUUAAAAAGAAUUCUUUUACCUUUUUGAGAGUGAUUUUGGUUUAUCUGGUCGCUGAUUGCAGGUAAACAUGGAAACAAAAUACAAUUGGAUAGUGAAACGCAUCUUUUCUUGUACCCAUUGGUUGGUACUUGGCGUCAGAUUCUCUUUCCAAAACCUUGGAAAGAGUUUAGGUUGUGGUACGAUCUGUCACGUUCACACUAGAAGAAAAGAGUUGGAUUAAUUCGAGGAAAUCCACAGCCUCCAAUACUUACUGAUUGCUACUGUUUUCAUGCCUUUCUCAUUAACAUGAAGGACUAAAAUACAACUGGAAAAUAAUAACUGACGAUGCACAUUUCUUGCUCAUUAACAUGAAGAAGAAAGGAAGGUGAUGCAGUCCAGACAAUAUGAAUCCUUUCCUCCAGAAAAUCUUGCUCCUUUCUUGUCCUUUUCACGCCCAUUUGCUCCCCUUCACAAACAAACCUCCCAUUUAAAGGAGCUCCAAUCACACAAACCAGCAAUCCUUCCAAAAAAUUUUCCAUGACCAGCACAUGCUACUGAUAUCAGAUAAACAUAAAAUGAAGAGAAGAAAUAGAGAAACAGAUGACAAGCAGGAAUUUCAGUAGAAUGCUAUAAUCAAUUUCAGGAAUUUCAGUAGAAUGCGAUAAUCUUUCAGUAGAAUUCUCCAGACCAAUCGUGUUAUUAAGUGAAGACCAUGAAUUCAAAACUAUGAUAUCAGAAUCAAGAUAGAUAGCAUAACGAUGAUCAUCAGGAACAACCCAACAAGAAAAAAAAAACAAGAGACAAGUUACCAAAACAUAGAUUCUAAACAUAAGAAAUGGCGCGAUUGAAUCACUACAUUACAUAGUAUAACGAUGAUCAUCAGGAAUAUAAAAUAAAAAUUCUUCUCAACUCGAGCGAAGAGGGUAUUAACUAAUACAUGGUUUCUAGUUCAAGAGCCAGCAUCAAAAUUACUAGAUUAUGAGAUUUAUUUUAAACACCUCAAUGUGAUAGUACAGUGUCCUAUAUGAGAUUCACACAGGAACCAGCAAGAUGUUGUGUCAUUCUAGUCAUACAUGUGAUUGACAUUCCAGAAGGGGGAGAUAUUUUCAAGAAGCGAGCUAAUUACUUGUAGAGAGCAGCAAGGUGAACCGGUUCAAUAUAGUGAACAUAUGUCUUUCACCGCUGAAACCAAACUGGAGUGAAAAUAUGGGUUUUCUCCAUAGCCUUAUCACCUCUAGUCAACCACGGGUCUCGCAGCAAAGGAUACGGGUUCAAGAAAACAAAUUCACUAUUUAUCAAGCCAAUCACCCCACCCUUCUCUUAAAGAUUACAACUUUUUACUUAUCUUUAACAACAAAGCAUCUUCAAUAAUCUUAACUCACUAAGUUUUCUGUUAAUUUCCUCAUCAACAAGAAUAUCAUCACUGCCAAACACGGUCGUACUUUUAUAAUCCUCAACUAAAACCAUUGUAAUAAAAUAAAACAUCGUAAUAUCUUAUCAAUUUCUUAUUCAAAUACCUUAUAAUAGACCUGGUUACAUGAUCCAUGUAAUACCAAGAAUCGAGGGACUUUUCGUUUCUUCUUCUUCGGUGUUUUUUUUUACUUUCAUUUUCGUGAUCUUCUUCUUCUUCUUCUCUAAUGGUGUCUUCUUCAUUGAUAUUGUCGACGCCGAGACUUAGCUUGGGUUUUGAAUGAGGGACAGUGUUGUGUCGAUACCAAGAGUGUUUUUUUAUUGUCGUUUAGAAUUUUUAAAUUAAUUUUCUUUUAAAAAAAGGCAAUUAAAUUACGUGUUUUUAUGAUUUUAAUAUAUUAAUAUGAAAAAUAAAAAAAUCUAAAAGACAUUAUUAUUUAAUAUAUUUUAAAUAAAAAAAACUUUAUACAUCCCUUGUAGACUUAGGUAAAAAAUUAUUUUUUUAAAAAAUAAAUAAUUUAAUAAAAUAAUUGUUUUAAAAAAAUAAUUAAACUUUUAAACUCUGAUCCGAUGAAGUUAAGUUUAAAAAAUUCUGGUUAAAACUGGUUCAAAGCCUUCAUUGAGCCCAAUGUAAAGAGGCCCAACCUGCCGUCAUAAAAGCCCAAUAUUCUCUUCUCCGCCACCACUAUGCCAUGCCUUUUAUAUAAGCAAACGAAUAUGUACGAAGAAGAGCUUAGGCCUACAAAAGGGGAAAAGGGAGAAAAGUUGAUACUGCUUUUUCUUCUAAAUAGACACCGGAUGACUAUUGCACCCUUGUAAUGGUAUCUGAUUCAGCGAAAAGGAGGGUAUUAUGGUAAUUGGAACAACUUAAAUCGAGAAUCUGAACCGUUGUAUUCCUCUGCAAAGAUGCACAUGCUGUUAACCAAUGAUAAAUUAAUGUAUAGCUGUUACAGUUUGUUAUUUAUUAGGACUCCAUUACUGCAACAACUGUUACAAUAUGUUAUUCAUUAGGACUCCAUUACGGUUACAGUUACAGUUUGUUAUUCUUCCUGCAACGUAGAGAAUUCAGUUAGGUUCUGUAUCUAUAUAUAUAUAUGUCUUCUAUUAAUAAUAUAUGUAAGCAAUUCUCUUCCAAAAGCUUCAGCUCUAUCAUGGUAUUAGAGCGUCUCUGAUCCUUUAUUUAUUUUUUUCUCUUUCUCUUCCUACUCUUUUUCGGUUCUGUUUCUCCCUCAUUAACAUCACCAUGUCAACUUCCAUUCCAUCAAAUACGGAAAACCACCUUAUCACCAUAAACACAGCUGCUCAAGCUCCUCUUAAACUCACCUCUUCCAACUAUGCUUCCUGGAAAAUUCAAUUUGAAACACUCUUUAUUGGCUACGAUCUCCUUGGUUACAUCGAUGGGUCCAAGCCGUGUCCCUCACUAACUCUUAUAACAGAUGAUAUCAUUGUUCCCAAUCUUGCCUAUAGUCUCUGGGUGAGGCAAGAUCAACUUCUAUUGAAUGCUAUUGUUGGCAGCCUUUCUCCUCCGCUUAUCUUCUUUGUCGUCCGCACCAUUUCUUCUCAUGAUGCAUGGCAUGUUCUUGCCACAACAUAUGCCAAACCAUCCCGUGGACGUAUCCGCCAGGUGAAAAACCAGUUAAAGAAUCUCACAAAAGGCUCUAUGAGUAUCACAGAUUUUGUCUACUUCAUUAAAGCAAAAUCUGACGAACUUGCUGUUCUUGGUGCUCCUAUGGACACUGAUGAUCUUACUAAACAAAUCCUCGAUGGUUUAGAUGAAGAUUACACAGAACUUGUUCAGGUUGUCCAAGCUCGCGAAGCUGCUAUCUCCUUUGAUGAACUACAUGAGAAACUUCUCUUAUUUGAAGCAUCACUUCAAACACGGUCACAAUCCUCUCGUCUUGGUCCUAUUACUGCCAACUCUUUCACCAAGAACUCAAGCAACAACAAUUGGCGACCCUCAAGAACCAACUGGCGCCCAUUCUUUUCUCCUAUUGGGAACACUUUUCGUUCCCUACCUAUUGCCAACUUUCGACCUGCUACUUUUCCCAAUCAGGUUCGCAAUAAUCAUCUGCCUGCACGUCCUUAUUUGGGCCAUUGCCAGAUGUGUGGCACUCAGGGGCACACUGCUAAACGAUGUCCUUCUUUUCAUUUAGUUCAUGUUCAUGGUUCUAACAUUGCCAACUCCUCCAAUGGUAUGCCAUCCUCCUGGAAUCCCCAAGCCAAUUUUUCUUCUUCAUCUCUAUCCACCGCUGCGUCAUGGUUACUAGAUAGUGGUACUUCCCAUCACGUUACUGCCGACCUCAAUAAUCUUUCUCUCCAUACACCAUAUAAUGGACAAGAUGAUGUUAUGCUAGGCGAUGGUACCAAUCUUCCUAUAAGUCACACUGGUUCAGUAUCUCUUCCCACAUCUAACUCUUUUUUCCAAUUACAAGAUGUUUUGUGUGUUCCCAAAAUGCAAAAAAAAUUAAUAUAUAUUGCAUUAUUCUGUAUCACUAACAAUGUGUCAAUUGAAAUUUUUCCUCAUUGUUUUCAUGUGAAGGACCUACAAACGAGGGACAUUCUUCUGCAGGGCGGCACUAAGGAUGGUAUUUAUGAAUGGCUAGUUGCCAUCUCUUCCACUCCUCCCAUUCUAGCUUUCUCUGUUGUCAACAAUGUCCAUUUGGCACCGGCGCUUUGGUCAUCCAGCCUUCACAAUUCUUAAACAUAUUAUGUCCUCCUAUCAUUUAAAUUUUUCUUCUCAAAAGAAUUUCUGCUGCAAUGCUUGCUUAAGUAAUAAAAGUCAUAAACAACCAUUUUCUGUGUCUAUUUUGCUCACUACUCGUCCUCUUCAAGUUGUAUUUUCUGAUGUUUGGACUUCUCCUAUUAUUUCACACGAUGGUUAUAAAUACUAUGUUAUCUUUAUUGAUCAUUUUACAAAAUACAUUUGGUUAUAUCCAUUAAAACAAAAAUCUGAUGUCCAAAUAGUGUUUCGACGCUACAAAGCAAUUGUUGAAAAAUAUUUUCAACAAACCAUUAUUUCUCUUUAUUCUGAUAAUGGUGGUGAAUACAUUGCUCUCAAACCAUUUCUUUCAGAACAUGGGAUUAGUCAUCUCACGUCUCCACCACAUACACCUGAACAUAAUGGUUAUUCUGAACGGCGACAUCUUCACAUUGUCGAAACUGGUCUUGCCCUUUUUUCUCAUGCCUCAAUUCCCACUACCUUUUGGACUUAUGCCUUCACCACUGCUGUUUACCUAAUUAACAGGAUGCCAACUCCCACAUUAAACAUGUCUUCACCAUAUGAGUCAAUUUUUCACAAGAGUCCUAAUUUUUCUAAACUUAAAGUGUUUGGCUGUUUAUGUUAUCCUUGGUUGGGUCCAUAUGCAUCUCAUAAACUUGAUUUGAAAUCUCAACCCUGCGAUUUUCUUGGAUACUCCCUUUCUUAGAGUGCAUAUCUAUGCCCUAACAAAUCCACUAACAAACUACAUGUUUCACGGCAUGUACAAUUUGUUGAGUCAGUUUUUCCUUAUAAGUCUUAUCCUACUGCAACUUCAAAUUUUCCUUCCCCCGUGUCUGACUGGAUGCCUUCACCUAUUUUUGUCUCAUCUCAAACCCCACAACAACUGGCUCUUUCUGCUCCUUCCUCACAAUGUCAUGCAGAUGCAUCUCCUUCUAUGGUCUCUUCAUCAAGUCCUCCAACUCAUGCCGAAGCAAUUCCUUCCAUCAUUUCUACUCCACAGGUACCUACUUCCCCCUCUCAUCAUAAUCCUUCACUUCCAGCUCCAUCUCUACCUGUUCCACCACCACCACAACAUUCCCAACACCCUAUGAUCACUCGGUCCCGGAAUAAUAUCCACAAACCAAUCCAGAAACUCAGUCUUCACACUACUAAACCAGUCAUCUUUCAAACAGAACCUUCCACCUCCUCUCAGGCACUUAAAGAUCCAAACUGGCGAUCUGCUAUGUCUGAGGAAUAUGAUGCUCUAGUAUGCAAUGACACAUUGGAACUUGUUCCUCCUAAUGGUAUCACUAACGUUGUUGGUUGCAGGUGGGUUUACCGCAUUAAAAGACAUUCUGAUGGUUCUAUAAACAGGUUUAAAGCACGACUUGUUGCAAAAGGUUUCCACCAGCGUCUCGGUGUGGACUAUCAUGAGACUUUCAGCCUCGUUGUGAAGCCAACAACUAUCCGCUUGGUACUCAGCCUUGCUGUCAGCCGCGGAUGGUCACUUAAACAACUGGAUAUCAACAAUGUUAUCGCACGUGUGCAGCGUCACGACGAUCAUCCACCCUCAAUUGUAUGGAUAUAUAUCUAGUAAAUACGGGGAGACACGAAAUUCUUUGUCUCUUAGCAGUAAAAAAAAUGGAAUGGAGUCGCCACCUAGUAUUAUGGUCACUAGGAACCCUAAUUGGUCUCAGAGAUCGGGUACGGAGACUGGUUGCGUAAAGGGAAGGUAUUAGCACCCCAAAUACGCCCUACCUAAGGUAAGCUGCAUUGUUUUAUUUGUCUGAUCAAAAUCUAAGGUUUGGUCGUGUUUUCUAAUUGUUGGUCUUGUCUAUCUAAGAUUCAAGAAAAGCCCUCCUCAAUAAGAAGGUUCUUAUCUUAAUGGGGUAGAACCUAACCGUUCUAACGUUGGAAAAAGAUUUAAUAUCCGGAAUACGUAUUACGUGUCAUAUCGUACCCUGGAUACUAAAAGACAAACAAAAUAAAAUUUUUUAUUGUUUUUGAAAUUUUGGCUAAUGUUCUCUUGACUUUAAUAAACUGGUUAUUAAAGCCAAAAUGCAUGUUAAAACAUUAUUUUUUUGUUUAUAAAAAACACAAUAUGAUUUUUUAGCUUUGAGACACUUGGCCGUAUGCACAAAAAUAUUUUUUCUUUUUUUCAAAGUUUUUUGUAUUUUUGAAAGUUUUGACGAAAACCGGGUAUUUUAAUAUCAAAUUUUGUAUUUUUAGCAACAUAAAAAUACUGCUUGAUAUUAAUCAAAAUGACAAAAAAAUACGCAGGAAACUUGUAAAAUUACAAACAAAUAUUUUUGAAUUUUUCUUUUAACAAAAAAAGAAAAAAAAUUGGGUCGGAUCUGGCCCAUCCAUCCUGGGCUGGGCCUGACCCGGCCCAUAUACUGUGGGCUGGGCUGAUGUGCCAGCCCAUAACAAAUAAAAGGACUGGUUACUGUGCUGCGCACAGUAACCAGCAAAAAUAUAAUUAGCUAGUUAAUCUUCAUUUUGCUGCAGAACGUAAACGUUCUGUAAAAUGAAGCUGAAGCACAAAACGAUGGGGGAGGGGAGAAAGUUACCUGGAGCGGUGGCGACGCUGGCGGCAGCGGAUGCGACAGGGGUGGUGGUGUAGGCGGCGACUGUUCUCCUUCCUUCUCUCCCGUCUCCUCUGUUUCUCUUCUCAGCCACCCUCUCCUCUGCCUUUUUUUGUUUUCUAACUUUGGACACAAAAGAAAAAAAUUAUAUCGGAGCCCAAUCAUUGCUCCACCAUGCACACAUGCUUAACCACCUAAAAGAGAACGGUGCGACGCUUCCAACACUAUAAUGGAAAGCGGUGCUUGGCCAUCGAGAGAUGCCACAUGUGUCAUUCAAGGAGCAUUGAUACCUCCCACUCUCUGACACGUAUUGCACGUGUCAACCAGUUUUUAUUUUUAUAUAUAUGUUAAAAGACUAAAUUUUUUCUCAUUUACAUUGAUUAUAACUAAAAAGCCAUAAUGAAAAUAUAAAAACACACCUGGACACAAGUUUUAAUUUUUUUUCCUUUUAAAAGCAAUGUAGUCAUUUAACUAUGCUAGCAAAACGUAAAAAGAAAUAACCCCUUGGACCUUAAUUGUAAAAAAAAAAAUUUAAGACUGUUUAAGUAAUUUUACUGUGCAUUUGAAAUGGUAAAAGAUCUAUUGUCCCUAAUUAAUACGAGAAUGACAAAUGAACCAUGUAAAAAAGACUAAAUUACCCCUAACAGCUAGUUAAAUGACUUUUUUAGAAGGGCAAAAUAGUCAUUAUAUUUUUUUAUUCCACAACGAUGAGUUUAGGGAUACAGUGAAACGUUGAUGGCUUUUUAUUUUUUAUAUUUACUAGAACAAUUUUUAAGGAUAUUAUAGUUAAUUUUUAAGGAUAUUUUAUAUAUUCAUAAAUUAAAUGUUAAUGAAAAUUAAGAAAAGAAAAGAAUUAAAUUAUCAAUAAUGAUUGAUGAGAAACAAAAUUAAUGUAAUGUAUAUUUUGAAUAAUAAAUUGAGAUGAAGAUAUAAAAUAUUUUUUUUCUAGAAUAAUUUUGAUUCUUUUAAAGUGCAUUUAUAUAUAUAUAUAUAUAUAUAUAUAUAUAUAUAUAUAUAUAUAUAUAUAUAUAUAUGCAGUCUCUCUAUUUUCAUUAUCUGUAUUUUUUAUAUUUCAAGACAAGAAUCAAAUGCUACAUACAAAUAUUAUACAUUAUAGAAAGAAGUAUAAUUUUAUUCUCUCUAAUUCUCAGUCCACCCUUUUCAAGAUUUAAAAUUAAAAUCUCCUCAUAAAAAACCUAAAUCUUAACAGUUAGAUUGUGGAUUUAGUAAUUAAUAUUAAAUUCUGUCCUUGUUGUUUUGUAAUUUAAUGCUAAGUUGCUAACUAUACUCUUAUAAAUUCUCGUACACAUUCAAGAAAAAAACAAAACCCUAAAGUAAACCAUUAGUGAGGUUGGAUUCCUUCCUUUUAUUUAUAAUCGUUUAAAACCAAACCCUUCUCUUUCUUCCUUCCAUCGAAAUAUCAACUUCGUUUAGAAUUUGAUUGCUUGUCGUUUUCAUUGUGCGGCAUUCCAAAAUUACUGAUUCGAAACCACAUCUUCAACAAAAAUAAUCAUCCACAUGCUUCAUCUGUGGAUGACAAAUUCUAGGAAUCUCAGCUAAUUGUGAGAACUGCUGCGACAAACCUAUGAAAGAUGUCAGGGAAGGAUUAAGAAAGCUAGCUAUUUCAACGAAAAAACUAUUUACUAGGGCUAAAAAACGAAAGAAAGCCUGCUUUUUUGUUCUUAGAGGGAAGGGCAAGGGCCAAGGUUGAUUGGACUUGAUAUAAAGAUGAUGUCUAAUAAAAAUGCCAUUGAUGGCCCUUUUUGCAGGCUGUGAUUCAAGGGCCGCGAUCAUUUUUGGAUGCUGAUUUUGUUUUUAGUAAAAAAUUAAAAUCUAAUAAUUCUAAAACUUGGAAAAAAAUUUCUAAGGUUUUAAAAAAAUUCUCAUCGAUAAAUUUUUUUUAUUAAAAACUAAUUAUUGUAAAAGCUGAAACAGAGAGAAGAGCAGCUGCUGGGAACCCAAAAAGGAUGAUUUUGUUUUCUAACUUUGGACCCGAAAAUCCCCCCUGUUUCUGCUUCUUUGUAAACCUCCCCUGUCUCUUUUCUCAAAUUUGUUCCUCCCUUCUCUAUUUUUUUUUCUUCUUCAAGUUUGUUUCUCAAAAGUUUUGCCCCCUCUGGUUUCUCUCUCUUUUUUGUUUUUGCAGCUUGCCUGUCUUCCCCUGCUCUUUCCCUUUUUUUUUCUCCAAAGAAAAUUGUUGGUCUCUCUCUCGGUCUCCCUCACUUUCUCUUUAAAAAAAUCCUUCCAGCUCUCCCUUCUUGAUCUCCCCCCCUAUUCUCCUGCACUCCCUCUGUAUUUAUAGGCAGAGGGAGAGAGGGCCACCAUGCCCUAUCCUGCCAUUAUGCAGGGCAUGGCAUGGUGGCAUAGGGGUGGCUACUCCACAGCCGCCCCUACCUCUGUAGGGCAUGGGUCUUUUGGUGUGAAGGCGUGGUGGUGUCAGUGAAGGGACAAGUCAGGUCGUAGUUGGUUUUUUGGUUUUUGGGAGAGAGAAAGGAGAGAAAAAAAUAGGGGGAAAAAUGCUUCUUCUUCCCCUGUUCUCUGCGCGUCCAGGGGAAGAAGCAGGCUUAUGGUGCCGUUCAAAACGGCACCGUUUGCUCUUUCUCUCUCUUUUUUUUCCAGUGAAAUGCAUGAAACGACGCCGUUUUGACCAAAACGCGUCAUUUCAUUUAAACGAAAACUGGCGCCAAAAUGGGUCAAUUUGCGCGCUUUUUCACUAUGGUCCUUGGUUUUGGAUUUCUUCAAUCGAGUCCCUAAUUGGCCACCAGACUUCAAUAUGUAUGCAAUUAAGCCCCUGAUUUGACCAAAUCAACUCUUAAAAAUUAUAAUUUGACCCCAGAACUUUAAUUUCUUCCAAUUAAAACCCAAAUUGACUUAAAAAUCAAUUUUUCUUGCGAUCAAACCCUCCAUAAAUUCAAUUAAACUUUCAAUAAAAUUUAAUUGAGCCCAUAUACAUCUGAUUUUGUACAUUUCUUCCUCAAAUAAAAUUUUCUUUAUCAAUAGGGCUCUCACCGGUCAACGAUAUACUGUCAAAUUUCAAUCCUUGUAUUUUUUGAUCCUCCUCAACCAAUUUUUGACCAUUUUCGGGGCGCUCUAGCAUCCUCUUUUCACUGCUAUUAUUUUUUUAUUUUUUUUAUUUUGUGCGGGGACCAAAAAAUGGGUUACAACAAAUGCUUUCCUUCAAGGUCAUCUUUCUGAAACCGUUUACAUGGCGCAACCUCCUGAAUUUGUUGAUCGCGAAAAACCGUCAUUUGUUUGCAAACUCCACAAAGCCAUUUAUGGACUCAAACAGGCGCCCCGGGCUUGGUAUCAUGAAUUGCGCACAUUUUUGUUGGCUUCUGGUUUCCGCAAUUCCCACUCUGAUCCUUCUCUGUUCAUAUUUAACAGUGCUCAGCAUGUUUUGUUUUUACUGGUUUACGUGGAUGACAUUAUUGUCACAGGCAGCGAUGACGACAUUCUAUCAGAUUUUGUUUCUAGCCUUGCCAAACGUUUUUCUCUUAAGGAUCUUGGCAAUUUGUCCUACUUCUUGGGUGUUGAAGUUCUUCCUCACAAACAGGGUAUUCUACUCUCUCAACGCAGGUACAUUACUGACCUGCUAACUCGUCUCAACAUGCUGGACGCAAAACCAGUGCUCACUCCAAUUCCAAGCUCUGCAUCUGCUAUUUCAUUGCUGUCUGACUCGCCUUUAUAGAAUCCCACUGUUUAUCGUGAAGUUGUAGGGAGUCUUCAGUAUCUUUCUCUUACAAGACCAGAUGUGUCAUUUGUUGUGAACAAACUAUCUCAGUUCAUGCACAGCCCAACCGAUGACCACUAGAUCCUUGUUAAGCGAAUUAUGUGAUAUCUUAUUGGUACACUAAACAAGGGCCUUCUUCUGCACCGUGACUCGCCCUACAAUCUUCAUGCCUUCGCUGAUCAACUUCAUGCCUUUUCAGAUGCCGAUUGGGCUGGCAAUAAAGAUGAUUAUUCAUCCACCAGUGCUUAUCUAGUUUACCUUUGGAGUAAUUUAAUUUCAUGGAGUUCAAAUAAACAAAAGACCAUUGCCAGGUCUUCAACAGAGGCUGAGUAUCGCUCCGUUGUUGCCACUGCUGCUGAGCUCUGUUGGGUACACUCUCUACUUCAUGAACUUGGUGUUGCUCUGUCUUCUUCACCUGUGAUAUACUGUGACAACAUUGGAGGAACUCAGUUAAGUUCCAAUCCUAUUUUUCAUUCUCGCAUUAAACAUGUUGUCGUUGACUACCAUUUCGUCCUAUUUUCAGGGAUAAUAUAAAAAAUUUCAUUAAAUUUAAAAAAAUGAUGAAAUCUCGUAUCUUCAGGAUUCACGUCAAAGUUUUUGUUAAAAUUCAAGAAAUUGUGAAAUAUAUUAUCUUUAAGGAUUAAUGUAAAAAAAAUAAAAAGUUAAAAAACUAGUGAAAUCUCCUAUUUCAGAAAUUAAAGAUAACAAAAUUUUCGUUAAAAUUCUUUUAUAUAUUAAGGCCAGUGCCAUAAAAUGACAAGCUAUGAAAUCUUAGAUUUUUAGGGUUUAACGUUAUUUCGACAAGUUUUUUUAUUUUUAGAAACCGAUAUUUAUUUUUAAAUAAAUCAUAAAUAAAAUCAGAAUAUAAUAGCAUAAAAUAACUUAGAAAAACAAAAGUAAUGGUAAUUUUUUAUUUGAAAAGAUAUGAUAAGGGUGGUGUUAACCUGAUAAGGGUGGUGUUAAAAAGAGAGGCAACAACGGAGAAGAAGAAAUAAAAAAGACAUAAAAGCACAGUAUCUGCAACAAGAAGAAGGAAGGAGAAAACAGGAUCAGACAAUAGAUAAAAAUGAGAAGUCAACUUCUAUUAUCCCCGAAAAAGAUCUCAAUGAGAAGUCAACUUCAAUUUCAUUUUUCAACCUACAAGUUGUGCUGAUCUUCCUUUACCACAGUCCUACAAAAACUAAUAAAAAAAUGUUGAGACACUAAAAUACAAGCUUCACCUGCAACGCCAAACCCUAAGUAUAUAAACUAACUUCCAUUCACAAUCAGCCGCCUCCUUCCCUUCACCCUCUCUUUCUCUCUGCUCAUCCCAUCAUCAUUGCUUCUCUCUCUCUCUCUCUCUCUUUCCAAUCAGAACUAAACAGACGAUGGCUGAGGCACUUCUAUCUCCGAUCUUGGAGCAGUUAACCACAAUCGUUGCUCAACAGGUAUUUUUCUACCAUCUGCAAUAACCUGAUUUACCUAGCAGAGAUAAGAAAUAUAUAUAAAGUUCAAGCCUUUUUUCUUCCUAUCAUAAAAAGAAUACUUUUAACUUGAAUAAAUAAAAAUAAUAUUUUAAAUCCUCAAGUAUAUAUUUGGAUUUUAUUAAAGAAUCUUCUUUUUCUUGUUUUAUUAUUUUUCAUAUUUCCAAAAAUAACAUAAAGAAAAUAUAUCAUUCCAAAUAUAGGAAAACCGAAAAAGGCAAAACAAGAGAUGCCAAUUCUCUUUAAACUUAACUAUUAAGGGUAAAAUAAUCAAUAAAAAGUUCAAAGGAUUAGCGAGCGAGUAUUUGGUGUGAAUUAACACACAAUCUUAUUAUCAUGCCUUUAUUUCACAAAUUAUACAUACAGAUCCUUUAAUUAUUCACUUGCAUUUAUACAUCCAUAUAUCUAUAGUUUAAUGUAAAAUGAAAACCAGAUUUUAUGUCGGUUCAAAGGAGAAAUCCUUCUCUCGUGAGAACAAUGAACUCUUUCCAUACCUAUAUUAAUUAUAUAUAUAUACACGCACAGGUUUAACGUUUUACCAUUUAAGAUUCAUUUUAUACCUUCUUGUACAGUAGCGUAGUGCAGACUGAUAUCAUCAUCAUGAUGAUAAAAAGAAAAAACAAAUAUUAUUAUUUCUAAUAAAUAUUUUAUAUAUAAAUUAUUAAUAUAGUAAAUCCAUUUCACAAUAAAAUAUAUUAAUACAAAAUAGAAAUGUUUCCUAUGCUUGAACUUGUAUUUUCUACACUAAUAGGUACAGGAAGAGGUGAACCUAGUAGGGGGUGUGAAAUUGUCAUAGAAAUGUUUCCUAUGCUUAACGUUUCUUUUCCUUUGUACACUAAUAGGUACAAGAAGAGGUGAACCUAGUAGUGGGUGUGAAGAAACAAUGUGACAAGCUGAAAAGCAAUCUCCUUGAUAUCCAAUCUGUCCUUGAAGAUGCAGAUAGAAAACAAGUGAAAGAUAAGGCUGUAAGAGAUUGGCUAGACAAGCUCAAAGAUGCAUGUUAUGAUAUGGAUGACGUGCUAGAUGAAUGGAGAACUGCAAUUCUUAGAUGGAAAAUGGAGGAAGCUGAAGAAAAUACUCACAGCCGACAGAAGAUACGGUGUUCCUUCCUGGGAUCUCCUUGCUUUUGUUUCAAUCAAGUGGUUCGACGUCGCGACAUUGCCCUGAAGAUCAAAGAAGUUCGUAAAAAAGUGGAUGACAUUGCCAAAGAGAGAGCUAAGUAUGGCUUCGAUCUGUACAAAACCACUGAUGAACUCCAGCGACUAACAACUACCUCCUUUGUUGAUGAAUCAAGCGUGAUUGGUCGAGAUGGUGAAAAGAGAAAUGUUGUAAGCAAGUUGCUGGCUGAAAGUAGUCAAGAAGCACGGGACGUGGAUGUCAUCUCUCUAGUAGGGCUGGGAGGAAUUGGAAAAACAACUCUCGCCCAACUAGCUUUUAAUGAUGCUGAGGUUACGGCUCAUUUUGAGAAAAAGAUAUGGGUGUGUGUUUCCGAACCAUUUGAUGAGGUUAAGAUAGCCAAAGCUAUCCUUGAGGAGCUUGAAGGGAGGGCAUCCGAUUUGGUAGGAUUGCAAUCCCUUUUGCGAAGGGUUUCUGAAUCCAUUGAGGGAAAGAGGUUCCUUCUUGUCCUUGAUGAUGUAUGGACAGAAAAUCACGGACAAUGGGAACAACUGAAACCAUCUCUCACAGGCUGUGCACGAGGAAGCAGAAUUCUAGUGACCACUCGUAAGGACGCUGUGGCAACGAUGAUGGGAAGUACUGGCCACCGGAUCAACAUUAAGGAAUUGUCCGACGAGAUAUGCAGGUCAAUAUUCAAUCAUGUGGCAUUCCAGGAAAGAAGCGAAGAUGAGCGCGAAAGAUUGACAGAUAUCGGCGAUAAAAUUGCAAACAAGUGCAAGGGCUUGCCUCUAGCUGCCAAGGUAUUAGGAGGUCUAAUGCAGUCUAAAAGAACAAGAGAAGAGUGGGAUCGUGUUUUAUCUAGCGAACUGUGGAGGCUAGAUGAGGUUGAUAGAGAUCAAGUUGAACGACGAAUAUUUAUACCUUUGCUCUUGAGUUACUACGAUUUACCUUCUGUGGUAAGACGAUGUUUCUUGUAUUGUGCCAUGUUUCCAAAAGACUACGAGAUGGACAAAGAUGAAUUGGUGAAGAUGUGGAUGGCUCAGGGUUACCUCAAGGAGACUUCAGGUGGAGAUAUGGAGCUUGUAGGAGAGCAGUACUUUCAAGUCUUAGCAGCGCGCUCUUUCUUCCAAGAUUUUGAGACGGAUGAGGAUGAAGGAAUGACAUUCAAGAUGCAUGAUAUAGUGCAUGAUUUUGCCCAAUAUAUGACAAAAAAUGAAUGUCUAACAGUGGAUGUCAAUACACUUGGAGGAGCAACAGUGGAGACUUCAAUUGAAAGGGUUCGUCAUUUAAGCAUGAUGCUGCCCA